UUUUUAUUUUUUUUCUGUGGUUGAUGCAGUACCUUGUGACACAUUUUAGCGACUUUCAACUAGCGUGCAUUGGGAGUUUUCUCCUCCAUGAAAGCGUGUUUUUCUUAUCUGGAUUCCCUUUCAUAUAUCUUGAAAGGGCAGGCUUUCUCAGCAAGUACAAAAUUCAGGUUUAUUUCUCCUCUCAUUCACAUAUCGUUCCAAGUGUCUUCUACGUAUGCAAUUAUAGUUUUGUGUGAUGGUUUGAAUAUGAUCGUGUGGAGGUUGAUCUCCGAGUAUUCAGCCACACGUGAAAGUGUUUUCUUGUGACUUAUGGUGAAGGCAACUGUAGUUUCACUGAUAAAAGUGAAUAAAUAUAUUGUCAUUUCAGCAAUUACAAAAUACUAGUAAUUGUGAAAUCUGAUCCUUUUUCUCGUCUUCCCUUAUCCUAUAUGAUCAAAUCAACCAAUACUUUUGUUUUGGUUGUAUGCAGACAAAAAAUAACACACCUGCAGCCCAAGGAAAAUGUAUUACCCGCCUGCUGCUUUAUCAUUUCUGCGUGAACUUGCCCCUCAUGAUGGCUUCCUAUCCUGUCUUUAGAGCCAUGGGAAUGCGAAGCAGUUUUCCUUUGCCGUCCUGGUAUUGAUGUUUAACUAUACCAUUUGGCAGUAGAAAAUAAAAACACAAUCAAACCUGUCAGUGUUGAGCAUCAUGAAAGAACCUGAGCUUAUGUUUGAUCAGGUAUAUAAGACCCUCUUUGGUGAUGGUCCUGCAGGAAAGAAGUGUCUGCCCAGAUAUUAUUCUACUUCAUCAUUGAGGAUUUUGUCUUCUAUUGGGGUCACCGGAUCUUGCAUUCAAAAUGGCUGUACAAGAACGUGCACAGUGUGCAUCAUGAGUAAGUUUUCAGUGUUCACCAUCUGCUUUCAGUUUUGAUACUUGGCAAUGUUAGCUUAGAUAACUUUCUGAAAGCAACCAUUUUCAUGAUAUCCCAGAUAUGCCACACCAUUUGGUUUGACAUCAGAAUAUGCUCAUCCUGCUGAGAUUCUAUUCCUGGGUUUUGCUACCAUAGUCGGUCCAGCGCUCACCGGUCCUCACCUGAUUACUCUCUGGUUAUGGAUGGUGUUGAGAGUGCUUGAGACUGUUGAGGCGCAUUGCGGUUAUCAUUUCCCGUGGAGUCUCUCGAAUUUUCUUCCUCUGUAUGGAGGGUAAGAUCACACAUCUAACCACCUCUCUUGAACUCGAAUCUAGAAUAAAUUGUAUUAAUGGAAUCAUUAUUAAUUUGGUUACAGCUCUGACUUCCAUGACUACCAUCACCGACUGCUCUACACUAAGUCUGGCAACUACUCUUCAACCUUUGUGUAUAUGGACUGGUGAUCCUCUUAACUAUAUAUUUCUAUUUGCUUUCGAGAAAAGAUGAUCGUAACUAGUUUUGAGUCAACUGUGUAAUUCACUAAUCUCGUCUCUGGUGUUGUGCAGGAUCUUUGGUACUGACAAGGGCUACAGAAGACUGAAGACCCUUAAAGAAAAUGGUGACAUGAAACAAACGUGAAAUGGCCAGUUCGGAUUGCAUAGUACAUUUGUCACCGGAGAGGUCCUAUUCUGCAACCUCUCCUUUUCCUUAACAUUUUGUUUUCGGGUUGCUGCAACUGUCAUGUGUCUUAGUUUAUUAUGUGUGGCUAGAAUUGCUACAGAUGUGGCAUAUUUGGAAGAAAAAGAAACAUUCGGUACUUCAACUGAGUAUGUUGUUUGGGUUUGGCAAUUGAAGCAUUUGGUAUGUGUAAUCGAUUUUGAAGCUUAAUAUGCAAACGGGUAUAAACUUGGGGUUACUCGCUGAAUCCUAUUCGAUCUUAAAAUUGGCUGGCCCGGUCCAUUUGACAGUAAUUUGGUCUUCUUCCGAAUAUAGAUUCUUACACGACAGCUAACUUAUGUUGACAUUGUGUCUGAUAUGUAAACAUGUUUAGAUAAAACACUGAUUAGGUCAAAUAUUAUAACUCAAUCAAUCACCCGACACCGACACGUACAAAUGCGCAUAUAAAAUGUGCAUCGGUCCAUGGUGGGUCACGUCCUUUUUCCGUGGUGUAGGGUUCCUUUGUUCACCUCUUUGACACGUCCUCUUCCCUAUUAUCGUCUCUCUCAUUCACUUCCGUUGGAUUUCGAAUGUCUUCAAACACACAAAAAAUGCUAACUCGUUGUAGAGAGAUUUUAAAGUCUCUCUCUAUUUAACAAAAGAAAAUUCCCGUUGAUGUUCUCGAAGAUCACCACGUGUAUCUGAAUUAAUUGGUUCUGUUUCAAAGCAAAAGAAAUAUGUACAUCACUUUUUAUUAAUUGAAUUUUGAACUGAUUCUACCUAGACAGUGACACAUGGCACAUCACAUCUUUCCUUUUUAUGUUUGUUCAUUACACCAUGUAAAAAAAAAAAGUAAACAAAAAAAAUGGUUUAGAACAAAAAGAAACACCCAACUAUACCACUCUGGUUUAUCGGUUUUUUUUUUUAAACCGGGGCAUAGAUUUUUUCCAACCAAUGCUUUGCCAUUAUCUUUUCUCUCUUUUAGGUUCGGAGAAGAUAUGAGCUACCUUCGUCCCAAGGAAAAAGAAUCAUUUUAAACAGAGAAAAUAAAAAAAAGAAGACGGUGGAGUAGAGUGAAUAGGAGAUUAGUGUCAAGCUACGUGUCUCUUUCUUCUUCUUCUGAGAUCAACAACGACGACGCUUACGUUGUCACUACUGUGUUUUGCCAACGCCAGCUUCGUCAGCAAUACUGACGCCUCCGUACAUGCUUUGUCCGUGAUCUCUCCUCUCUUCCCGUUCUUUCUUGACCCCACCACCUCCUCCUCCUCCUCUUUACUUUCUUCUUCUUCGCUUCUCCUCCCCAGAGUUUGAGUUUCUCCUCGCCGUCGUCCUCCUCCGCGACCACCCUUUCUAUUUAAACACAUGUGCACCAUCGCACACGCGGCCUCGUUCGUCACUACGUCCCAUAACCCGUCACUUGCUAGAAUCAGAAACUCAUCUUCUUCCGUCCGAUCCGUUACCGUCACUUCCGGAUCCGAAGUCACGUACGGUUUCAAGUAGUUGUCUCCUAUAGCUCGUGACAUGGCUAAAACGCCUAAGACUCUUGCACCAUCCCAAUAUAUCACUCGCCCUCCUGCUUCUUGGAUUCGAUCCAGCUCAUCCGGACGAUCCGGCUAUUCAUUUCAAAACGUAGAAAACCAAACUUAAAUCCACAAAAAUCCAACCAAAUUAUCAAACAUAUAAAUAUGUCGAUCGACAGAGAUCAUAUAGAGACUGACCUUGUGAUCUGUAGACAGAGGCACUGCUUUACCAUUCCGACAAAGAACUGCUCUAGAAUCGCCGCAGUUAGCGACAAUAAUCUUCUCCGGGGUAAUGACGGAGACAACGGCGGUGGAUCCAACGGCGUCGCAGUCAGGGGUCUGAAGCUCACAUCUACAAUUAGCACUCAUCACAGUUUCACCCCAACGAACAACCUCUUUAUCCAUGCGCGUGAAGCUACGUUCCAUCAUCUUUUUCCAUUCUUCCUUCUUAUCUAAAAGCGCUUCUUCUUGAACUAACUCGUGAAGCCUCUCUUUACACCUCGCCGCAACCUACAAAACGACGGCGUUCCAGAUCAGGCAAACCGAUAAAAAAAAUAGUAGAAUAUUUUUAUAAAAAUAUCUACUAAACGGCGUCGUACGUGAGAACAGCCAUGGCCGUCGUAAACACCAAAAUAGUGCCAUCUCGUUCGAGAAAACUCGGUUUGUUUCCGUACAAAAGACGGAUGAAUCGCAACGGCAUCUUCCAUAUCUCUUCUUCUCCCGCACACCGACGAGACGCCGUACCUCGGCCUCAGAUCCGUCUCUUUCACCGUCUUCUUAGCAGAAACAACCAUACAACUACUAUUCACCGAUGAGUUUAUCAUGGAGACGUCAGUACUGUCUUCAACACUCUCUUCCGGAGAGCUUCGAGAAGGUGACGACGACGCACAGUUCAUAAAAUCGUAGUCGUCUUGUUUGUUUCGCUUGUUGUAAACCCCUUCCGGCUUCUCUUCGUCCAUUGCCUCCGUGGGAUUCAUCUUCUCCGCCGGUGGAGAGACCCUGAAUCGUUGAACACCGAUCCUCCACUUCCGGCUAGACCAAGACGGUCUCGAUUCACAAGCCGACGUUUCGUCCUCGUAACAUAUAUCAGCCAUAUAUAUAUAACUCAGAUUUCUUCGUCUCUGCUAUAUUUUUUUCCGGUUGGAUCGUGAAUUAAUUAUUUCCGAUGAGAAUGGAAAAAAUCUCUUCCUCCGAUUUUUAUUUUGAUUAGACCAUGCAAAUGAAUAAAAAUAUCAUCGUUUACACGUUACAAAGGUGUUACCAUUUAUAUACCCCCACGCGCCUACCGCUUCACAAAUACAUUUUUAAAUUCGUUUUGUUUUCAAAAUUAACUUUCUUUUUAUUUUUUACUUUGAUUUUUCUCCACCCGCCUUGGAAAAAAAUCUUUUUACACAAAACCGUGACGUAUUGGUCUUGUGUCUGAAAAAAGAAAGAUAAAAAAUCUUGACCGUCGAUUUUAGUCACUAUACGAUCUAGAAAUGGACCACGUAAGCAUCACGAUCAGGUGAGAGAUAAACGUGGACCAAUGAAAAUGUAACAGAGGGGGGGAGAGAGGAAGUUCCUUUCGCGCCACGAUUGUGGUCCAUUCUUUCUCCGGGAAGACCCUUUUUGUUUUUUCAAAUUGUCUCCUUAAAGAUAAAAUUAUGUGUGUCUAAUCACCAAAUUUAAUUAUCUUAUUUAAUAUCCUAAAUAAAUCCCAUUACGUUAGUUAAAAACUUGUUGAUUUUGUGUUAGUUAACCUUAAUUUGAUCUAUAAUUAGGUCAACUUUUCAAGACUAACGGAAUUAAGUACGAAAAGCCUUAUUAGACAGCGAUUUUGCUAGCCAUGUAGUAAUUUAUAUAUAUAUAUAUAUAACUGUGAAGUGUGAAGCUACAAAUUAUGUUACAUUUAGACACGUAUGUUACCUUUUCAUAUCAAAAUUCUCUUAUCUUUUUAUUUUUUUCUUUCUCUUUUCAUUUUGUGUCAUAUAAACAUCAGUUACGUACUGUAUAUGUUUCUUUUUCUUUUUAUAGUUCACACUUUACGCAUCUGUUGUUUUGUUGAAUAUAUAUAUACUAGUAUAUAUGGACCGAUAAUAAUCUCCAAAGAGAACGGCUAUGCAUUGUUUGAAAGUUUGAAAUGUAUCAAAGGCUCGCUAAGAAAUUAAUAAAGAGUAAAGACCACGGAGAUUCUCAGCACUUGAAUUAGAUUUAGGGUGCGGAUCCGCAUUUUAACUAAAGCGUAUAAAUAAUUAAGGGAACUAUAUAUAUAGUUUGAUAAAGAAUUGAAUAUCUUGACAAAGUGGAUUAUUGAUAUAAAAAGGUACUAACUACUAAGCACGCACGAGAUCAACAACUUGUAGUAGAUUUUCACGCAACUAAAAAAAUCUCAUCUGUUCACGGUUCACCUAGUGAGUGUUGUUAACAUUACAAUCAUGAUUACCUAAGAAUAUAAAACAAAAUCUAUUUAACAAUCAAGGCCUCACAGCAAGAGAAAGCCGUACAUAGGACACGUAAGUCAGUAAGUGUAGUUGUCUUGGAAUUAAUAAUUAAGAGUUUUAACCGUUACAGAAAAAAAAAAAAGCAAGAAAAUACAAUUAAAAAAAGAAAAGGCUUUUUGGUGAAGCAGUGGCCCAGCAAUUUUAUCUCUCUAUACGUUUUACUUCUUUCUGUUCAAUUCCGGCGAACCUUUUAUUAAAGAGAAUCUGAGGGAUUAUUUUGUCUACACCGUACACGUGUUACCAUCGUAGCUCUUUUUAUUUUAGACCAAAUUUUAUAUUUAUUUUUUACUGCGACUUCUACUGUUUGCAGUGAAAGUUAGGUCACCCUGUCUCUCACACUCUCUAUACUCUCUCUAUCUCUCUCUCUCUAGUGAUCAACUACCAUUUCACAAAAGCUUAAAUGUGUCUCUCUCAACUGCAAAAAAAAAAAAAGGCUAAUUGUAUAUAUGUUACAGAAAAUAUUCAAAUCUGACUAGAGAGUACUGAUUUAGAAGCAAUCCUUGCAUGCAUAUAUGUUUCCCUUUUUUCUCGCCGGUCAAAAUCUUUUGGUGUUUCGUCCUGAACUGAGCAUAUAAGUGUUGGUUGGGUCCGGCUAUUCCCUUAGUCGGUCGGGGCUCUCGCCUUGUCCCAUAUACUACUACAUAUCUCUUCUGAGAGUUGAGUUUUCGAUCCACGUACCACCUUCCUAUUCGCUGUGUUUUUUUAUUUAUAUGAAAAAGUGGAAAAUUGGAUUAAUUCACCAGCUCCCAAACAUAGAUAAAUAAAUAAAAAUGAUUACUUAUAUCAUCACUAGUAAACCAACAAUCAUGCAGCAAUAACGUAACAAUCGUAAAUAAAUUGUUCCAUAGCGGUCAUCUUAAUAGUAGCUAGUACCCGCAUAUGCAGCUAGCUUUCCUUUUCCACCAUUAUUUGUUCAACAACAAAUAUUUUGAUAAUCAAGAUCCAUAUAUAUACUCUUAGCAAUAACAUCAUGCCCAUCUAUAUGUAUAUCAUAUCUAGACAUACUCUUCUAUUGGUUGUUGUCAAGAUCUCAAGAUCUAAGCUCUUAAUUAGCUAUUGUCGUCUUCACGGAGAUAUCGAUCCUUCUUCAUUGAAUACAUCCACCCCAUUGAAAGCUAACAUUAAUUGAUGUAAAACACACGAUCUAGUACUCUUCUAUCUCCAUCUAUAAUGUUACUUUAAUCAUGCGACUCAACAGUGUUUAAUUUACUCAUCUAGCAACAAGGUAAAGAGAUGACAUUGGGGAAAAGUGGAUAAAAGAUUAUCAGAAACUAUAAUAUAAAAAUUAAUUGUGAUGAGUGUUACCGAAAUCUCAAAACGCACGAACAUGAUAAACGUAGAGGAUUAAACGGGCCCUCGUUCAUGUGUGUGUACCCACCGAUCCAACCAAAAUCACUGUAUAUACUGAAGCUGCUAGAAUCAUUGGUAGGUGACAAAUCAUUCAGUUGCUGUUUUUGGAACAUAGCGUUUGAGUUAUCAUGACAUUAAUAUUAUUAUACGAUUUUGAUAAAGAUGGUAUUAUUUUAGUAGAUAUAUCCAAAGCUUAGUGUGCAUGGUGGCAUGCACCUCGACUUAGGCCUUCGAUACAUCCAUGGUGUGUUUGUUCUUACGUGGUCAUCAAUUUUAAUUUCUAGUAUUAUUUUUCCACCCCUUCUCGUUUUAUUUUAAGGUUUCGCCGAACUUUUGAUCUUUAAAUUAGAAUUUGAAAUAAUAAAGUUAAAAAGUUAAGAAAAAAACAAAUAACUAAUUUACAUUUAUUGCAUCGUGACAACUUAGCUAGUAGUAGUGGUCGAGAAUUGUUUUCUUUUCGGGAAUUUUGAAUGGAAUAUGAGAUACUGCUAAGUUAAUGUUGAAUUAUAUGGAACUAACCUUUGUGAUUUCAUCAUAUUUCAUGUUACAAAAUUGAUAUGAUUUUUAAACACCAUUCCUUAAUUACUUGAAAUUAUAAAUUAUAGGUUCUCAUAGAAUACUAUAGAGCUGAUAGACGAAUCUUUUCAGAAGUUUUAAGUCUUCCGACUAUAUAUAUGUUUAGUACUCGCAAGACGUGCUGGUCCAAUAUUAUAUGAGAGGCAAAAGAGCAAAGUGAUAAAUAUCGAUGAGAUGAAAUCAGAAUAUUGAUUAGUUUAUUAGGGUUUUGUUUCCUUAAAACGAAAUAUUCUAAAUAAAUUGGCAUUGAAAAAUGAUAAUGUAGUUUACUGAUCAUGAUCAGAUGAAAUCAUCAAACGCAGUAAUGGAAAAGGUUGAACAUGCAUGCGGCCGAAAAAGUUGAAAACACGUCAAAACUGACUACAUACAUACGAGAGAGAAUCAGAGAAUGCGUAUAUUCUAUGUAAACAGACAGAUGAUGAUGUUCUGGAUCAGGAUCAAACCGUAUAGGUGUGUUAGUUUGAUCAUGCAUGAGAGGACAAAAUACCACUUUAUUUUUGUUUUACAUAUUUAAAUACUAGUGAUCAUUCUCGUUUGUGUCACUGUUGUUAAUUGGGGUGACACAGGUUAUUUAAGGUCCUGAAUUAUAUAUUAUAUAGAUGAGAUCAAGUAUAAUACCGAGCUAGAAAUUAGAACAUACAAUAAGAUUCUAUAUAUAAGUCAUAGCCUCAUAGGUGAUAUACUCUAGAUGCCUUCUUCUAGAGGAAAAGAGUUCUAACGUGCCAAGUCUCGACAACCUUAUUGUAAUAAAGUUUGAGUUUAUUGGUAGUUUGGACAUUGGAUUCAACCUUGUGGCUGAUACGAGAAACCAUUGACAGUGAUACCUCCAUCUACACAAAUGGUCUGACCAGUUAUGUAAGAAGCUGCAGGCAUACAUAGAAAAGCUACCACCGAGGCUACUUCUUCAGGCUUCCCGAAACGCCCCAAUGGCUUUCUAGACUCUACCACCUUCUUGAACUCAUCAUCGUACACCUAAAGAUCAUCAUCAAAGUAAAGAUAUCAGCAAAGGCAGGAAAGGGAGAUGGGUCUUGGAGGAAAUGUAGCAUAUAUAGUUUGUAUCUCACAUCUCCAGCUAGAGGAGUUGCAAUGACUCCAGGAGCCACAGCAUUAGCCCUAAUUCCAUCACUAGCCCACUCACAUGCCAGAUUCCUUGCUAGCUGAUUCAUCGCCGCUAAUGUCACACACACAUACACAUAUCAAUGCCUUAGAAUAUUGUUUUAAGAACCAGCUUAUGGCUUUGUAUUUACAUGUGAAACCAUUGUAAGAAAAAAGAAACCUCUACUGAAAAUCUCAAUAAUCACAGAUAGGUGUUUUUGUUUUCUUCAAUAGCUAGUUUAGUAUAUUUACCUUUUGUUGCAGAGUAGAUGGAGCUAAUUACAGUAAACGACAAAAUCCCAGCAGCAGAAGAUAUGAAGACAAUGUUCCCACAUCCUGAACUCUUAAGAAGAGGAUGUGCAAGCUGGCUCAGAUGAAAAGCAGACUCUAAGUUGGUCGUAAAAUGAAACGAGAAAUCCUCUGCUGUAAAAUCCACUGUCGGCUUUGCCCGAAUCCCUCCAACAUUGUUUAUCUUAUUAUCAUCAAAAUAUUAAAUUAAAUUAAGAAUUUGAGUAAUUGAUUUUUAGAAAGAGUAUAUAUAAAUAAAGAUCUAAAACUUACGAGGAUAUCGAGCUUGCCACCAAACACUGAAGACACAGUCUGCAUAAGCUUAUCUCUCUCUGUUCUCAAAGAUGCGUCACAGACUGAACCACUGACUUGAAAUCCCUUCUUUUUCCAUUCACUUAAACACUCAUUAAGCUGAGAUUCAUCUCUCGCACAAGUAUGUAUCAAUGCUCCAAAUCCCGCAAGUUCCUCUACUAUAGCAUGCCUAUUUUGAUUCAAGAACCAGAGAUUUUUAAAUAUGCUUUCAAGAAAAUAUUUAUGGAAAGAUUUGGGAUCUGUAAACGAACCCGAUCCCUUUGGUUCCACCAGUUACAAGUGCGGUCUUUCCCUUAAGGCUCCAUCUCUGGUUUUGCUCUGUUCCUCCAGCCAUUGCUCUCUCCUAUGCCUAAAGAGCUCAGAUUCAAGAAGAGAAUACAAGUGGAGCAAGCAAACGUUAAAUUGAUUAAUCAAUCAAUCAUUGGAGAUAAUAACGCAACAUGUGGGCCAAAUUUUAAAAAAAAAAAAACUCAAGAUGAUGGGCCUGGUCCAUCAAGAAUCUUAGGCCCGUAUCUUUUACAAUACUGUAAAUAAAAAAUAAAAGUCACAAGGAAAACAAAAUUAAUAUAGAGAGAUUAAGGGAAAGACGUAACUGUAGAGACGGCAUUAGUUUGUUCUUAGCCAAUGAUAGUAUUUUCUAUCAGUUUGUUUUUGUGAUUUGGGGUUGGAUUGGAUUGGUUGGGUGCACGUACGUACUAAGGCCUUCUGAUGAUCCUAGUCAUUUGCAUUCUAAUGAGUUUUAAAUCUCAAUAAUACUCACAUUUAGGCGGUUGUUGAUUAUAUACAUUUGUUAAUUACUUAAAACUGAUGACUUGACUUGUCUCAGAUCAAUUAUUUUCUUCUGUUGUGUUUUUUUUUUUUUUAAUAUGAACCAAAAUAUAUGUAUAAUAGAUUCUUAUUUGCACGUAUUCCCAACAAACCCUUUAUUGUUUGCUAGUUUGGGAUGUUUUAAUAUCCAUCUAAGACUUACCAUCACGAUCGAUCAGCUAAAAUAAGACUUGAACUGUUCAACAUUAUAGCUUUUUUGGAAUUAUAUUAGAUCCAGUUUGAUUACUUAUGUUUAAUUUAUAAGCUUUAUUAAACAAUAUAUGGAUUCUCAAUAAUUAAAAAUUUGUAGAUGAUUUCUUUGAUCCAAUACAAACAAUUUUUAUAGCUAAUAAAAAUUGAAGUUUCGAACUCGCAGCUGAUUGCCUUUCUGCAAAUAAUAUAACAAUGUCUAACUUUCUUUCUCUUUUCUUCUAUGAAGCCUCUCUAUAUAUAUACGAUGGAAUCAUUCAGACAAGCAACUUCACAUAUACACACACAUAACAAAACAUACGUCCAUCUCUUCAAUGGCAAUUACUUACAAAUCAAUAGCUCUUUCCAUUAUCACCCAACUAUGUUUCGUUUCUUGUGUGCUAAGUCAACAAAACGAAACCAAAUUUCUCUACCACGGAUUUUUCGAAGCUAACCUUCUCAAGUAUGGAUCCUCCAAGAUCCUCCCGAGUGGCAUCUUGGAGCUAACAAACACCUCAAGGAGACAAAUGGGUCAAGCCUUCUAUGGCUUCCCCGUACCCUUCAACAGUACUAACUCACCAAACUCGCUUUCUUUCUCCACAAGUUUCGUUUUCUCAAUCGACGCACCAGGUCACGGCCUAACCUUUCUGAUCUCACCGUCCAUGGAUUUCACGCAAGCCAUGCCGAGCCAGUUUCUCGGUCUCUUCAACACUUCGAACAACGGGAACUCCACAAACCGAAUCCUCGCGGUGGAAUUCGACACGGUGAAGUCAAACGAGUUUCUUGACAUCGACGAUAACCACGUAGGCAUCGACGUGAACGGUUUGGUAUCCGUUGAAUCUGCACCAGCUGCAUUUUUCUCCAACAAGCAAAGCAAGAAUAUAAGCUUGAAGCUUUCGAGCAAAGACCCGAUUCGGGCUUGGAUCGAAUACAACGGAGGGGAAAUGCUUCUCAACGUCACAUUGGCUCCUCUUGACACUUCAAAACCUAAGUUUCCUCUUCUGUCGAGAAAGAUGAAUCUUUCUGAGAUUUUCUUGGGAAAAAUGUAUGUCGGCUUCUCCGCAUCCACAGGAAACAUAACGGGUAAUCACUAUGUAACUGGAUGGAGCUUUAGCAGAGAAGGGAAAGCAAAAGACUUUGAUCUCGCUCUGCUUCCUUCGCUUUCAACACCGUCGCCAUCUGAUUUUGAUGACUUUGAUCCCUUCUCAUCAUCGGAUCCUUCUCCAGAUUCAGCAACCGUAAAUCCUUACCGCACCAAGGUGGUCAUUAUCUGCACGCUUGCCAUCAUGAUCUUUAUGAUUUGAUUGAACCAAAGAGGCAAGGCAAACACAUUUGGUCGUAUGAUUUUUAAUUGUAUUAAUUUCUUGAGAUGAAUAAAUAACGGAAAUCUUCAUAUUAAAGUUGGAUGAGUCAUGCACUUUAUAAACCUUUGGAUGAGUCAGUUUUUGUUUUGUUUCUUUUUUUGUUUGAGGAAAAAAAAUUAGCCAGCUGUUGUUACACAAGUUUUUGCUUAGGGCUUAUUAAAUCUGUAUACCCAGAUGAAUAAGAAACAAAAUUUCAUUCUCAACUCUUUGCUUCAGAAUAUUAUUAAUUAAAAUCAUUUAGCUUUUAACAGAACUGGAUCAGGUGAAGUCAAUGAGGUAUCACUCAUACUGAUACCGGUAGAUAAAAGAAAAACAUAUAGUGUUAUAUAUAACUAAAUUUGUUUUUAUUCAACUUUAUCUAUUUAUAUAUAUAUUUUUUUUUGAAUAAUUACUUCCUGGAUUUGGUAAUUUCAAGUUUCAGGAUAUAUAGUUGUUUAGUUACCAUUUCAUUCAUAUAUCUUUUUGUAAAAAUAAGAAAUUCUGAAAAGAAAAGAGAAAAAGGAAAGAAAAUAUCAAUGGCGGGGAUGAUAACACGUGUAUUUGUUGCGACACGAUCUGAUCCAAACCUAUUUAUAUUCUUCGCUGCUUUUUUUUCUGUCUUGACCGCUCCUUACCGAUCUCUGAUCUCUCUGUCUUCUCUGUUUACGUUUCGUCGCCGAUCUCGGCCAGAUUCCAUUUUACCGCCUACUGCCAAAACCUAGGUGAGCAUAAAGAGCUUGAAUUGUUUUGUUCUCUGGAGGCAAUUUUUUUCGGGUGGUUACUUCAAUGUUGCUUCUGAUAAUAUCAGAUUCCCGGAGGACGAAUCUGUUUUUUUUCGCCGGAACUAAAUUAAGGGGGCUUUAAAGGGGCUGAGAAGAUGGGUACAACUACGACAACGAGCGCUGUGUAUAUCCAAGUUAUCGAAGAUGUCGUCAACAAAGUCCGAGAGGAGUUCAUUAACAACGGAGGUCCCGGCGAGAGUGUCCUCAGCGAGCUUCAAGGAGUAAGUUUUCAAUCAGACUUGUCAUCCGUCGAUGCUAAAUGAUGUAAAUUUAGUAUAUUUAGUGGGUUCGCCAGUGUGGGUGGCUUGGAUUUGUUCCAAUGCUACUAGGGUUUUUUGGAAUUCAUAUCUUUUGAUUCCAUUAUUUUUGGAGCUUAAAUGGAUCUGUGUGGUUGUUAUCCGAAUAGAUUUGGGAGACGAAGAUGAUGCAAGCUGGAGUCUUAAGUGGACCAAUAGAGAGGUCAUCGGCCCAGAAGCCAACUCCUGGAGGUCCACUGACGCAUGAUCUGAAUGUUCCUUAUGAAGGUACAGAGGAGUAUGAGACCCCCACUGCUGAAAUGCUUUUCCCUCCGGUUAGCUAAUUUCACCUAAACCUUGAAUCUGUGAUUGAGAAAUCAAAUCAGGACUUCAAUUAUCAAUUGUCUUGAGCGUGGUUUUGCUUUUUUGUGUUGAGCAGACACCAAUGCAGACUCCCCUUCCAACGCCGCUUCCUGGUACUGCGGAUAACUCCUCCAUGUAUAACAUCCCUACCGGCUCUAGUGACUAUCCAACUCCUGGAACUGAUAAUGGAAGCAACGCUGAUAUUAAAGGAAGACCCAGUCCUUAUAUGGUGAGCUAUGUUUCUUAUUCAAAAUGCUGUGUACUGCUUAUCUAAGCGUCUGUGUAGAAUAUACAGAGGCAAAAAGGAUUGACUUCGUAUUAUUAUUUUUUUCUUUUUCUGGUUGACAUACACUGAGAAUUUGUUCUUUAUUGCAGCCACCUCCUUCCCCGUGGACAAAUCCUAGACUUGAUGUCAAUGUUGGUAAGUACUAGCGCCUAUUGUCUCAGUGAAAAGAGAUGUGUCUAUCUAUGUUGUUUGGGAUAUAAAUGUCUUACCUGCUGUUAGCUUACGUGGAUGGCCGUGAUGACCCUGAGAGAGGAAACUCUAAUCAGCAGUUUACACAGGUACUCCAAUAUAACAUCUAAAUCAAGAAUUGUGAGUUUGGCUUUUUUUUGUUUGGUUCGUAUCCUCUUUGCAACAGUUACGUUAUUGAACAUUUGAUUAGUACUCAUUUGAAGUACUCCCUCGUUGUAUAUAUUUUUCAAGUUGACUGUACCUGAACUAUAUAUGUAACUUUAAAUCUAUAAUUGGAAUACGUCCAGGACUUAUUUGUGCCACCCUCCGGUAAACGAAAACGUGAUGAUUCUUCCGCACAUUAUCAAAAUGGUGGAUCUAUACCUCAACAGGAUGGUGCAAGCGAUGCUAUCCCUAAGGUGUGUGUGUAGUACUACCCAUUUGCAUUUUGCGUAGCUCUCUUUAGUAAAAAAAAUUGUCCAUAGCUCCCUUUAUCUCUUAGAAAAUUAUAGGGAGAAGACUCCGCUUUAGUUUCUACUUCACAAGUUUGUGAGUGCCAUCCAAAAGAAGAUACAUGUAUUCAAAACUGGUUGAGUUGCAUAAAAGAAAUGUAUGUAUAUUAUAGGAUAUUUAUUCCUAUAAAAAUGAUGUAUUUAGUGAAAUCUCAGUCAUACAUCUGAUAUGAGUUUCAGGCAAACUUUGAAUGUGAUGCAUUUCGGAUAACUUAUGUUGGUGAUAGAAAGCUCCCACGAGAUUUCAUCUGCUCAUCAUCAAAGAUUCCUCAAGUUGAUGGGCCACUGCCUGACCCGUAUGAUGAAAUGUUGUCCACACCAAAUGUAAGAAUGCAUCAGGUUUUCAUUGAGUAGUCAGAGUUUCUGUUAAUAUAUUCUUCUUCGACGAGUUUAGAACCAGUAACUAGAAUCUCUAACUAACUGAGUCUCUUCUCACCACCUCCCAUAGAUAUUUAACUACAUAUAACCUCAUUUGACUUCCUAGAUUACCUGAUGAUGAAGGGAAGGAGAAUAUCUCCUUUAGACUUUAUGUUCCAUUCGGCUUUACCGUCAAACAUGCGACGAUUACUUUUGUUAGUAAUUUUAUGACAUUGAAUUUACUUGGUUGCAGAUUUACAGUUAUCAAGGACCCAGUGAAGACUUUAACGAGGCCAGAACUCCGGCUCCAAACGGUAAGAGAAGCCAAACAAAAUGUUUUAGAGCAAGUAAAUGCAUAUAUAUCCUUAACUAAAUUCCUUCCUUGUAAGAAAUCCAAACGAGCACUCCUGUUGCUGUGCAAAACGAUAUCAUUGAAGAUGAUGAAGAGCUGUUGAACGAAGAUGAUGAUGAUGACGAGUUGGAUGAUCUAGAUAGUGGUGAGGAUAUGAACACACAACAUCUGGUUUUAGCUCAAUUUGACAAGGUAAUGACUCUUGUUUACACAAAUUUCCGGGUGUGUUUCUCUGCGCUUAACUCUUAUCUCAGUAAGACUUGUUUGGUGCUGUAAUUAGGUGACUCGCACAAAGAGCAGGUGGAAGUGCAGUCUGAAAGACGGGAUUAUGCAUAUAAAUGAUAAGGACAUUCUCUUCAACAAAGUAAUAUGUGCCUCCCAAUUAAGGUUGGAGCUAUUCUGGUAAAAAUAAUACUAAUACACGAAAUGUCUACUUUUCAGGCAACAGGCGAGUUCGACUUCUGAUCUUCACAAUAGCAAUGCUUCUAGAAAAGUCUCAGUCUUUCAAACGUCAAAUGUCUUUCUUUUUACCUUGUGAUUUAGACCGACCUCCAAAACAGAGACAUGAUUAUUUAUGGGAAAGUGUACUCUGGUUGGCAUGUUGUACAAAAAGAACAGAUUUUUCCGGCCAAAGAAGGCUUAUCAACUUUGACUUAUUUCAAGAGUUUCUAUCCUCCACACAAUGGUAAUUUACUUUUCAAAGGCGGGAUCUUACUUAUAUGUAACGUCCUCUAUUAUUACAGCAUUUGGAUUCUAAGACACUAAGACCAUCCUAAGUGCUAAACCCCUUACUGUGAGUGGUCUACAAGCACGAACUUGGUUUGAAACAUAUUCAAGAGAGCCAUCUGAUUACUAUGGUCGACCUUGGCCGAAUAUUGCCAUAUCUCCUUGUGGUCCAUUGACGGCUGAGAUCCGUUCUUCUCAGUAAAUUCCACCGGAAACGUGAAAUCGUGCCCUUCUGUAGAGAGAGAAGAGCGUGGACUUGGAGACACAAAGAGAGGUGAAAGCAGAGGAAUCGCUGCCGCUGCAAUCACAUCAGAAGACUGCUGCAAAAAGGGGUUAUUAGGAACACGUUCAAGAUGCAGAGCCGUGGGUGCUUGCCUCUGCAGUCUAGUUGGUGAUUUCGGGGACUCGCUCUUCCUAGACAACCUCACAUUGUCAUCCAUCACGAUUUCAGACUCAGAGUGUUAAGCCCAAUGGGAACAAAAGCAAAACGAGAUAAAGAGAGAGAGGGGGAGAUAGAAAGAGUGACGUAAAGAAGAGAAUCAAAGGGAGAGAGGUUUGAUGUGUGUUGUCGGUGAGGACGCAAAAGGUGGGUUCGGUUAUAAUGGAACAUGUGGAGGAAAUAGGAAAGGGAUGUUGUUAUUUUGAAACGGUCAUUAACUGAAACUAAAAAAGUUGCUUCCUUUGUUGUUGCUUUUCGGUUUACUAAUGCUUACGAUCCUUUGGGUAUCGUUCAGUUUAGUGAAAGACCAAAACAAAGGUCAAUGUCUUUUAAAGUUAGUUUUUGUCUUUUUCUAACAUUAUCGUAAAUUUCUCAUUGUUAAUGACGAAGCAAAAAGAAUCAUAUUAGGAUAGAAACAAAGUCGUAAACCGGAUUGUCCAUGUAAUUAGUAUUAACGUUUGAAAGAUGGGAGGGUAGGUUGGAAUGUUUGUCGUUAUUAAAAAACAACCCAAACCAACAAUAAAGACGUUGACCUUUUUUAGGCUAUGACCAAACUGUAAGAACCCAGAGGCACAAGUAAACAAAGCCAACAAGAGUGGAGAGAGUAGAACCAAAAGAAGAAAGCAACUUUUUAAAAAAGUUUAGUUAAGGACCGUUUCAACGUAACUGCCAUUUUCUAUUUUGCUUCACAUGUUCCAUCAUAACUGAAGCCUUCUUUUGCGCCCUCAUCUACGACACACACAAAACCUCUCUCUCCCUUUUAUUCUCCUGUUUUACAAUUUACACUACUAAUUCUAUCUUCCUCUCUCUCUCUCUCUCUAUUUCUCGCGUUUUUUUACACUCAUUGGCUCAAUCUUGUGUCUAAAUCGUGAUGGAGAACACUGUGAACAUGUUUGGAAAGAAUAUGUCCCCGAGAUCACCCACUAGGCUGCAAAGGCAAGCACCCACGGCUCUGCAUCUUGACAGUGUUCCCGACAACCCCUUCUUGCAGCAGUCUUGUGAAUCUGUUCCUGGCUCAGCUAUUCCUCUGCUUUCACCUCUCUUUGUUUCUCCCAAUUCGCACUCUUGUCUCUCUACGGAAGGGAACGUAAAUUCAUACCGGCAUGCUUCUCCCUCCAGAAAAGGGCACGAUUUUACGUUUCCUUCGAGUACUACUGAGAAGAAAGGAUCUCAGCUGUCAUUGGACCACGAGGAAGGAUUGCAAUAUCCGGCUACGGUCGACCAUAGUGACCAGAUGGGUCUCUUGAAUAUUUUUCAGACUAAAUGCGUGCUUGUAGAUCACUCGCAGUGAGGGUUUCAGCAUUUAGGAUGGUCUCUUGAUGUUACAGAAUACAAGUGUUUCUCAAUAGUUUCCUUUUUAACCUAUUUAUCAAGAUGCUGUAAUAAGAUAUAUAUAUAUAUAUAUAUAUAUAGCUAGAUAUCUUGUAAGAAAAGAUCCAGCUUUUGGGAAGUUAAUUGCCAUUGCGUGAAAGACAUAAGAAAUUCAUAAAACAAGGUGAAAGUUGAUGAUACGGCCUUCGACAGGAAAAAUCUGUUCUUUUUGUACAACAAGCCAACCAGAGUACACUUUCUCAUAAAUAAUCAUGUCUUUCUCCGUCAGUCUUAAAUCAUAAAGUAAAAUGAAAGACAGUGGACAUUUAAAGAACUGUGACUUUUCUAGAAGCAUUGCUAGUGUCAAGAUCAGAAGUCGAACUCGCCUGUUGCCUGAAAAAGUAUACAAGGCGUGUGUUAGUAUUAUUCAUUUACCAAAAUAGCUCCAGCCUUUAUUGGGAGGCACAUAUUACUUUGUUGAAGAGAAUGUCCUUGUCGUUUAUAUGCAUGAUCCCGUCUUUCAGAUUGCACUUCCACCUGCUUUUUGUGCGAGUCACCUAGUUACAACACCAAACAAGUCUUAAUGUGAGUAGAGUUACAUCAGAGAAUAGAUCCAGAAACAUGCGUAAACAGGAGGGUCAUUACCUUGUCAAACUGAGCUAAAACCAGAUGUUGCGUGUUCAUAUCCUCGCUACUUUCUAGGUCGUCCAGCUCGUCAUCAUCAUCAUCUUCGUUCAACAGCUCUUCAUCAUCUUCAAUGAUAUCGUUUUGUACAACAACAGGUGUGCUCGUUUGGAUCUCUGACAAAGAGGGAAUUUAGCAGAUGAUAUUACUUGCUCUCUAACACUAUCAAACAUUUUUGUUUGGCUUCUCUUACCGUUUGGAGCAGGAGUUCUGGCCUCGUUGAACUCUUCACUGGGUCCUUGGUAACUGUAUAUCUGCAAUGCAGUAAAUGAAAUUCAUGAAAUAACUAGCAAAAGUAAUUGGGAGAGGGUGUAAUAGAUAAUAUCUCAGAUCUCUAGACAAAUGUUGCAUGUUUGUUGGCAAAUCCAAAUGCAAUUUAUGAUGAGCAGUGAGGAUGGAUCUAACUGAACUAAGGCAUUAGAGUUUCCUGCUACUGAUCUGUAGACAUUUCGAAGAAGUACAUAUCUACUAAAUGAAAAGCAGCAUUCUUACAUUAGGUGUGGACAGCAUUUCAUCAUAGGGGUCAGGCAUUGGCCCAUCAACUUGAGGAAUCUUCGAUGAGGAGCAGAGGAAGUCUCGUGGGGACUUUCCAUUGCCAACAUAGGUUAUGUGGAGUGCAUCACACUCAAAGUUUACCUGCAAAAUUGUGCUCCAAUCAGGUGUACCACCGAGAUGAUAAAUGCAUUAUUCUUGAAAGAUAUCAUAUAAGCAGCUGCUACAAAUACUUUCAUGAUUUCAUUGUUCUCAUGUGAGCUAUUCCAAAUGCAAAUGUGUACUACACACACACCUUAGGGAUAGCAUCGCUUGCACCAUCUUGUUGAGGUAUAGAUCCACCAUUUUGAUAAUGUGCAGAAGAAUCAUCACGUUUUCGUUUCCCGGAGGAUGGCACAAAUAAGUCCUGGACAUAUUCCAAGAUAUUAAGUUUUACAUAUAUUUCAGGUAUAAUCGACUUAAAAUAUAUGUACAGUGAGGAAGUACUUGAGAUGAGCAAUAAUCAAAUCAAUCACGUAACUGUUGCAACGAAGAUUUGAACCCAAACCAAAAAGCCAAACUCACGAUUCUUGAUUAGAUGUUAAAGUACCUGCGUAAACUUCUGACUAGAGUUUCCUCUUUCAGGCUCAUCACGACCAUCCACAUAAGCUAGCAGCAGGUCAGACGUUUAUAUCCCAAACAACAAAUCGAUACAUGAAGUAGUGGUAAAACAACUACUUACCAACAUUGACAUCAACUCUAGGACUUGGCCACGGGGAAGGAGGUGGCUGCAACAGAGAACAGAACAUCAGUUAAUGUAAAACCAGAAAUCCUAUAAGAUACAAAGUCAAAUCACUUUUGAAAACACUUAAGAGAUAAGCAGUGGCACUACACAGCAUUUUUAUAAGACGCAAAGCUCACCAUAUAAGGACUUGGCCUUCCUUUAAUAUCAGCGUUGCUUCCAUUAUCAGUUCCAGGAGUUGGAUAAUCACUUGAGCCGGUAGGGAUGUUAUACAUGGAGGAGUUAUCCGCAGUGCCAGGAAGCGGCGUUGGAAGGGGAGUCUGCAUUGGUGUCUGCUCAACACAAAAAAAGCAAAACCACGCUCAAGACAACUGAUAAUUGAAGUCCUGAUUUAAUUUCUCAAUCACAGAUUCAAGGGUGAAAUUAGCUAACCGGAGGGAAAAGCAUUUCAGCAGUGGGGGUCUCAUACUCCUCUGUACCUUCAUAAGGAACAUUCAGAUCAUGAGUCAGUGGACCUCCAGGAGUUGGCUUCUGGGCCGAUGACCUCUCUAUUGGUCCACUUAAGACUCCAGCUUGCAUCAUCUUCGUCUCCCAAAUCUACUCGGAAAAAACACACACAGUUCCAAUUAAGCUUUAGAAAUUAAAGAUUCAAACCAACUGAAAAAGAUGAAUUCGCAAAAACCCUAGUCACAGCAGAGCAAAUCCAAGCCACCCACACCGGCGAAUCCACUAAAGAUAUCAAAUCUCAAUCAUUUUGCAGCGAAGGAAGACAGUUCUGAUUGAAAACUUACUCCUUGAAGCUCGCUGAGAACACUCUCGCCGGGACCUCCGUUAUUAAUGAACUCCUCUCGGACUUUGUUGACGACAUCUUCGAUAACUUGGAUAUACACAGCGCUCGUUGUCGUGGUUGUACCCAUCCUCUGAGCUUCUCAAGAUCUCCUUAAUUAAGUUCCGGCGGAAAACCAGAUUCGUCCUCCGGGACUCUGGUUUUAUUUACCAGAGGGAACAUUUAAGGGUGAAAUAUCCAAGAAAUUGCCACAUACAAAAUAUAAUAAUAAAAAAAAAAAUUACAAGCCCGUCACGAUUACCUAGGGUUCGGCGGAGGCGGUAAGACGGAGUAUGGCAGAGAUCAGCGACGGAGCGUAAACAGAGAAGACAGAGAGAUCAGAGAUCGAGAGGAGCGGUCAAGACAGAACAGCAGCGAAGAAUAUAAAUAGGUUUGGAUCAGAUCACAUCACAACAAUGACACGUGCCAUCAUCUCCGCGAUUCAAUUUUUUUUUGUUCGCGACAUUAUUAUUAUCUUCGCCCUUUUUUUUUUUUAAUUAGAUCAACCAUAAAUCUAAAAAAAACUCGAAAAUAUUUCCUUGGUAAAUUUCUCCAUCUUUGGUAAAAAAAAUAUUUCUGAUUAACAGUAUUGCACUAUUUCUGUUCAGUUGACCGACAACAAAAAAAAAAAAAAAAAAAACAAUCAGUGAUCUCAUAUAUAUGAUAUUCAUAUUUUAGAAAAUGUCAUUAAUGUUUAAAUUUUUAAAACAACCACAAACGUGUUAAAAAUAUGUACACAUCAGAUUCAGAUGUAACAUAAUUUACAUGGUAUUUUAUACAAAAAUUUCCUUAUAGUGUUUUUGAUACAUAUAUAAAAUUUUGUAGUAUAUAUUGUUUAUCCUAAUAUUUUCACCCUCUAUAGGAAAUUUGUCAUAGUUAAUAUUUUUCAUCAUAACAUAAUUGGGAGUUAAAGUUUUUUAGUGUUUAAAUAGAAUCGUAAGAACAGUUAUUAGUAAGUUUUAGUUCUGUUGAUAUCUCUUUCCUAAAUCUAAACGGGGAUAAACUUCUAAAGAGUCUUUACAAUAUAUCAUAAUGUUUACUGAGCUCUUGUAUAAAAUAUAUAAGAACUGAAACUUCAUCUACCUUAAGAUGAGAUAUAAGUGUAAACGUGGAUUGAGAUUAGCGUUUUUCAGAAAUUUUCUUCUCACGUAGAAAAAUGUUGAUGCCAAUAUUUACGUUUUCUAAUUUAGGGGUUCAUUAGACUAGUUUUAAGGGUCUCCCAUAAAGUUUGCUUCCUUCUGAGACAAUAAUUGCAAUGUCUUAAUGAUCUAGAGAACUUUAAUUUGAUUAAGAAUAUCUAACAUAACUUUUUAUUUUGUUUCGAUUUAUAAGAAGUUUCAAUUAAAAAAUCUUGUUUGAUACAUCUAAAUAGGACAAGGGUGUGACUAAAAGUGAUUAUAUUAUCACUUUGUUUCGACAUCUAAAAAAAGUCUUUGGCUUCAAGCCUUUAGCUACCCUCGAUCAAAACGAACAGUCGCCACACAAAAAAAAAAAAAAAAAAAAAAAAAAUCUGAUUCAGACUUAGCCACUUGGUUCAGCAGUCUCCACCGUCAGAUAUCUCAAUCUGACAAAAUCCAACGUCUCUCUCAACACCACGUCAUUCUUUUUUAUUUUAUUUUUCUGAAUAGUAUAAAGAUCUGUGUGUGUAAAAAUGUUUCUGACACUGUUCACUUUAUUAUCUCUUUGUACUUUUGUGUUUGGUUUCUCACCUGAGAAGUCUGAGUUUCUUUCUUUCGUUUCAAUUUUUUUUUUUUUUCCCUGUUAAGAAGAGCAUGUUUCUCCGUACGGUAAUUUUAUAUUUUUGCAAUAAUUGAAAAAAAGGUUUCGAAAUAAAAAUCUGUAACGUGAUCACUUAUUUUCUGAUUAGAAUCCAAAAUUCUUAUGAUCAUGACAUUAUCGUCAGAGAGUCAAAAAGAGACAAAGAUCGAGUGGUUCAUAACUUUUCCAUUGGAUUUUUCAAUAUCUCGAAAUUUCCUUUUUCCCGCUCUCUCUAUAUAAUAAGAGAUGAAGAUAUAAUAAUUUCAUUCAUUCAUUGUCAGUAACACGGAACAGUGUCCAAGUACGUACAUUCUAAUACACACAGUAUACUUACUACUAAUUCUAUCUUUUCUUUAACUAAGAAAAAAUAGGGUAAUGAUAACUUAAACUUAUCUUUGAUACAUAUACACACAUAGUACUACUUUUUGUUGGGCUUCAUAUAUAGAAAAUUUAGGUUAGGCAAAAGAGGGAAUCUUCCUUCUAUCAAAGAGUAAGAAAACUUAAUACUGCCGUAAGAUACAAAUAACGAAUAGGAUAUAAAUAGGCAGUACUAAAUAUAACUUCAUAUCACACUCAAAAAUGAAAAAAAUAUAUGUAAAAAUCCUCAUAAAAAAUAACACUAAUGUAGACAGUACUAAAUACAACUUCAUAUUGUUUUUUAAUGGGAUUUUUUCUACUGUAAAUGGGUUAAGCUGUACAAAAUCUAGUUAGCCUACUGCACAGGAGUUACAAUAAGAAAUGGAAAAAGGAGUUACAAAAUUCCAAUAUUUCGUGGUGUAGGCAAAUUUAUAUAAUCCAAAUAGCAUCAUGCCACUUUGUUGACCACAUUAUUAUCAUCAUCAGCAUCAUAAUUAAUUGUAAAUCCAAGACAUUAACUAGACCCCAUUAAGAUAUUGUUACCAAGUCUAAUCACGGCUAUAAAAAAAAAGUUAGCAUAAACGUUGCAAAAAGCCAUAUGAUACGACAAAUAAAUUAGUAAAAAUAAAAGAAAAAAACUAAUGUGUGUGAAAAACACUCAGAUCUGUUGACCAAAACACAAAAGAAACCUCAGAUCUUUGACCAAAUAAAUUAUCAUUGGUUGUUCUUAUUAAAUCUUUUUAUUUCGUUAUUAUUAAUUGUUUUUUUGCCAGACACUGAAAGUGACUAUUCGAUUUAAUCCUAACAAAAUAAUUGUACGUCUCGACACAUCGACCCUCCAGAUUGUGGCAUAUAAUUUCACUUUAAAAAAAAAAAAAAAAAAAACGUUCGAUGUUUACAAUUUUUUCUUCAUCAGACGACACACACUUAUAAUUAUUUAUAUACUACCUCUUGUAGGAGUAGUAGUAGUAGACAUGACUCUGUCUUAUCAAAAAUUAAUAGAAGUAAAUAUAAUUAUCAAAAAAGAAUCUCUUCUUACAAUGUACUAGUAUGGAAACUUGUAGCAACUUAGAGUAGAGAAUCAAACUGAUCUAAUCAUUUAAAGAAAAGAAAAGAGAAGAGAAAGAAUAAAAAUGCAUGAGAUCUAUCAACCUAGGAAUCAUGUUUAUGCCAACAUACAAGCAUAGCCACACACCUUCUCAUGAUGUAGAACCUUCCCUUCUGUUCUUUGGCCAAGCUGCUGUACUUUUGAGUUAUGGAAGAUGAGCCUUUCUCUUUUUUCGAAGAGCUUCUUGACAUUGAAGACGAAGAAGAUGAAGAAGGCACUGAGCAUUUGGUUGACGAGCUCCGUACGAAUGCAGGAGCUUUCGAGGAGGAAGCACUUGUCGAGAAGCUUCUAGAGAACUUUGAUUUAGACGAAGUCGAAGAAGAUGAGCACGACGCAGCCAAUGCAUCCUUUUUCGACAGCUUCCACUUCUCGUCCAUGUCCUGUGUUGCGGAAACAAGAGCUACGCUGAUAUAAAAGAGAGCUUCUCUCUGACUCGGAUGAAGGCCGUCUCUCUCCUUUAUUUAUUAAUUUAUUCUACUCUACUUUUUUCUUUUAGUUUGAUUGUGAGUUUGUGGUGAUUGAGCUUUAGAAAGAGAGAUAACUAGCGAUCUAGAGAGAGGGAGAGAGAGAGAGAGAGAGACAAGGGAAGCAAAGAGAGGGAUAGUGUUUCUCUGCUCAUGUCUAUUAUAUAGUGAGUGCUUCCAAAACUAAAACUAUAUACAUGUGGAAAUGAUGAAGGCAAGAUAAUUAUUUGAAAAUAAAUAGUGCAACUACUUUUAGAUAUGUAUAUUUUCAAAAAGAGAAAGAACGAAUUGGAUUAAGUUUAACUAGUGGAACACUUGCAACAAAAAUUUACACCUAAUUAAACUUUUUCAAAGCUGUAAUGAUUGUACAAAAAUCAUAGUACUAGGAAAAAGAAUAUAAACAAAAUUGAUUCUUGUGUCAAUAAAGAAAUAAAAAAAAAUCCAAAUGAACUUAUUAGCUGUAUAAAACAAAGUUUUUUUUUUUUUAUGACAGAACAGCGAAGCAUUUUCAUGUUUGUUAUUAACGACGACGUUCCGUAUAUCUUCUUGUUCUCUGAACAUUUUAAACAGAUAAAGAAAGAAUAUAAUCUUAAAUUUUUGUGUUAUAAUCAUGUUUAUCAAGUUUUCAACAAAGCUUAGGUUUCAUUCUUUAUAUAUAUAUAUAUAUAUAUAUUUCAGUCUGUCUAUUUUUAUGAAUAUUUGUUUACGAGUAGACCAUUUGUUUUUUUCUAUAUUAAUUCGAUUACAUAUGCUGUUAAAACCUUCGGAAAGGUAAGACGUGGGUAAAUAUCAUAUUGAUAUUCACAUAAAUCAACUGUAACAUGAGAGAGAGAGAGAGCACAAUAAAUUGUAUGAAUAAAAACUGACAUAGUGGGACAUGAACCACAAUAAAAAUUUGUUUUCUAUUUUCUCAAAUGAGUUGGUUUAAGAGUAACAAGCUUCCACAAAACUGCAAGAUAUUUUUGUUGAAUCAUACCGACUGCUAUAUAUGAUAUAUGAUAAGUCCAAAUGGUGACGUUCCAGUUAGAAAAAUAAUACUAUUGAUCGAUCCACUACCACUAGAGUCUUAGAGGAGGAGACUCAUGUAAUUGCACUUGUGAAUGACAAACUACAUCUUUUGAACUAGAGGAAGUUGAAGUUUCUUCUUCUUCAAGAUCGAUGGAAGAAUCUACAACACAUAUUAUCUAUCGUUGGUACAGUGACGUUGAUGUUAAAAUAAGAGACAUGGUUUCUAAUUUGUCUAGAAACGUCUAAAUGCCAGUCGCGGACUUGUCUCUCGAAUGAAUCAGUGGUCUACGAUUAUACAAGUUUUUUUUUUCAAAUGAAAACAUUAAUAUCUUUUUUUUUUUUGUGUGUAAGUGGUAUCAUUUGGGAGUGUUUGGAGAGAAAGGAGCAGAGAGGGACGGGGGUAAAGUGUUCCUUACGAUAAAUAUUUUCGAUAUCGGGACCAAGACUAGACAGCUUCGGGUCUAAUAAUAUUCCACAUGUCUUUUUUUCUUUUCUCACUUGUGUUUUCCCAAAUUAAAAGAAAAGUCUGGCUACCUUUCUCGAAAUUAUUAACUCACUCCACUAAUCACAGUGUAUAUUUAACAUUGCAUCGUACGUUCUACUGCUAUUUUUCGAUUGGUGAACUUUUUCAUUGUUUGUACUACAUCCUUUAGAGCCACAGUAUAUGAUUUGUCGUUAGAGAGAAACGUUUAGCAAGAAACAAAAAAAAUGAUGAGAUGUAUGUAUACCAAUAUCAAUUUGUUAUAUUGACAUCACCAUGUUAAUCAUAGAGGAUGUACCCUCAUUAGAUUCGGAUACAAACUAAAUAAAAUAAAAUAGUUAUGAUUUAUGAGAUUACACAUUGUUUCAUCUUCGGAUUAUAAUGUUUAAACCAUAUCUUCAUGUUUGUAAUCUUUAUAUACAUUAAUUGAAGUUUUAAACAACUUGGCCGGCUUGGUAUUCCUCGAACUUUAAUCAGACAAAAAAGAAUUGCAAUGUUAAAUAAGAAUAAAACACUUCAAUUUUGUACUUUCAUCAGAUUUGAUUAUGGAAAAAGGAUUUUAAUGCCCAAAGUUCCAACAAAUUGUUUGACGCUUUCUAGUUUCUAACUUUCUACUAUCGAAUAUUGAAAUAUGUUAACCAUUCACACUCUUAUCCCGCCAUGAUGAACUGGCUUGUAAUAGUUUUUAUCAACAAAUAAGUUCGUUUGUGAAGGGAUUUUUAUAGGGUUCAUAUGUUCUUCCCAUAUAAAUAACUCAACCUGCAGUUUUACAUAACUCAACCUACAGUAUGUAAAACUGCAGAUUCUACAUCUAAACUAGAAGAACCUUAGCUAAAUUGAAUAAAACUCGUUGUAUAUAGACUCCUAUAACCCACACGGCUCAGUAAGAAUUUCGAAAGUUACUAGGACUUUCAAUGUUUUUUUUUGUCACCUUGAUUUCUUUAACACACGGAUGAAAGUAAGAAGGAGAAGGAUCCGUGAGUCCGUAGCCUGGUGGUCCAAAUAUUUUCUGAUCAUUAUAACAUCAUGAAUUAGUCUCGACUCUUGUUGUCCUUGAAUAUACGACAUUAAGCCAGAACUCAUGACUGAUGACUCUCGAGAUAUUUCCACUUGCGUUGUACAACUAAUGCCAUAUAAUAAUCACAUAGCUUCCAAUUUUUCCGCAGAAAGAAAAUAAAUUUGAGAUACGUACAUACAUAACUAGCUAGAAAUAAUACAAAGAUCGUUAACAAAGAAAAACACCCAAAAAGGCAAAUACUUACAUACUCGAUAUAGCAGCCUCCAACCCGACAGAAAACAAACAAAAACCAAAAAAGGAAACACAUCAAAACCACACUGGUUUCAUUAAAAAGUCCAUACACAAACAUUGUAUUGCGUAUCUUACAUCAGCAUACAUCACACACACACACACACAAAAGCCAAACCACUAAUAUGAAUCGUCAAGCCUAGGCUUCCAAGACGUACGUGUGGAGAUAUUACGCAUACAUAACAUAGCCGUUUUCAAACAACCCCGAACCCAUUUACAACAUCAAUCCAGGAACGGGACGAUAUAUAUAUAUAUAUAGCAUAGCAGUGGUAGCAUAUAUAAUACUAGCUAAUAAUAAUAAGUCAAAAGUCAAAAGAGGAAUCGCAAUCUAAGCCGUGCAGCUAGGUUGCCGUUUGGAGGCUGCCACCACCGAGAAAGAACAAGUCAAGAUCCGGCGGCUGAAAAUAUCCGUUCUUCGGCGGUUCCUUCUUUUCUCCAAAGUGUAGCGAUCUCUUCCUUCUCACCGGAGGCGGACACGGCGGGUAUGCUGGUAUCCGACACUCAUCACGUGUCGGCGUCGUGCAUCCCAUGUUGUAGUCUUCAUCAACGGUCACCGUGUUUCCGUCGUAGUGUUCCAUAUUACUCCCGUUCUCUCGCAGUUUCCUAAUUAAGAGAGUCUCUCAAUGUGAUUGCUUCUUUAGUACAACACUAGUUUUGGAAGUGCCGUAGCUUGUUCUGGAAGUUCCCAAGUACUUGCGGUGUAGAAAAUGACACGUGGAGGAGCGUACUGCCACGUGCUAAAGCGUGGGUGUGUUCAGGUAGUAAAAAGUUGCCACACAUACCCUCUCGUUUAUCAUGUGGCUUUUUAGCUGAAACCAGGCCCAUUUAGUCAAAAAGGGAUAAAAUUAAGCUCAACAAGGGCCCGAAUUUUACCCUCCUCAACUAACCGAACCGGUUGGUUUAGAGAACAAACCGGUUGAAAUAAUCCACGGAAAUAAAACAUAUGUUGGAGUCUGAAACGCGUUGAUGUCUUGUUGCCCAAGCAGCUCAAAGUUCUCACAUAAAUUGCUCUGUCAACAAUCACAAUAAAAGAAAAAUCUUUUGUUCUGGGUUCUUUGAUUUCUUCAGUUACCACAUCUUCAUCACUCCUGUAAAAUUCCUUUGCUCUCUAUCUGAAACGAAAGCUUCCAUAUUUCUCCUUUGGGUUUUGAUUAAAUCUCCGAUUGCGGUUUCUAUAUAUUAUGCGAUCUCACUUCUGUUCGUCCUGAUUCUUUGACAAUGAUAUUUUCCAAGCUCGGUUCGUCCAUUGCUCGAUCCUCUCGUUCCAAGGUUCGUUUCAAUGUGAUACUUUCUUCAAAUGCUUGUUAAUUUUCUGUUUUCAAUUCCUUUUUUCCUUAAAAAAAAAUUAUAAAAUCCUGGUGAAAUUAGGGAUUGGUGUACGGAGGUGGUGUGAGAUCGGCAAUUCUAAGCGAAGGGAGGCUUCGGGCGCCGCCAAACCUUGAGGCGGCGGCCAAUCAGGUUAAUGGUGGAUUAGGGUUUCUGAGGCGGCACUUUGCUUCUUUAGCUGCUCGGAAGUUGGAUACCGGUGAUUUAAGCCGCGUUUUCGCUAACCCUAGAUUGCGUCGGUUCUUUUCUAGCCAAAGUCCAAAGAAGAAGAGUAUUCCUCAAAACCCUUGAACUUUUCAUACGAAAUUAAUUGUUCAUAUGUGUUCAUAUGAAUAUGAGAGAUACUUGGUACCCGUUUUGUUUCUCGAUUCUUAUAAGUGGCUUUUUGUGCAGACUACGAGAAUUACUAUCCAAAAGAUAGUAAGCAAGCACCCAAGAAUGAGCAGAAAUCCGAAUCCAAAGGUGAGAGUUCGUGUAACAUUCCCUUAACUUUGGAUUUCAAAUCCAUUUGCUGAUAUGCUAAAUAAAUCAUACUACUAGUUGAUACUUUUGGGAGUUUGGUGAAUCAUUUAUCAUCUUUUUUGGUUUGUCAACUAUGCAUACAGUUACAGGCUUUACUAAGUUGCUCGCAGUUGUUCUAUUGAAAAUUGAUUAUCGUACUAAUGUUUUUGAAAUACAAUGGUAUGGAGGAAAGAUAGGUAGUUAUGAAACCAAUAUGAAAUUUGCUCAUCUUUUAUCCUUUUCCUGAUUUAUCUUAGUUUUGGCUUCUGACUUCUGACUUCUGAGUACUCAAAUUUUGUUAGCUUUUAUAGAUUCAGUAGUAUCAAGUUUUGUUUGAAUUUUCUUCCUUUGACAAAUUUUGCUUCUAUACGGAUUGUGAAAGUUUGUUUGAAGAUUUUAGUAACUGGAUAUGUAUUAUUUGUUGCAAUGCAGAGGGUUCGAAAAAAAAUGAAAAUGAAAAUGUCGGGGACAUGUUCACGAAGGAAUUCCAAAAUAUGUUAAUUCCUCUGAUGGCUAUUGCUUUAAUCCUUUCUACUUUCUCUCUUGGUUCCCGAGAACAGCAACAGGCAAGCACGUUUAACUCAACUUUGUUUAUCCUGGAUCUAUUUAUCUAUAUUAUGUUAUCUAUGGAAUUGCGGAAUCAGAUAAAAACUAAUUUUCGUCUUAUAUCUGCUGGUUCAGAUUAGUUUCCAGGAGUUCAAAAACAAGCUUCUUGAACCUGGUCUAGUGGAUCACAUAGAUGUUUCUAAUAAGUCAGUUGCGAAAGUCUAUGUGAGGAGUUCACCAAAAACUCAAACAACCGAAGAAGUUGUUCAAGGUCCUGGUAAUGGAGUUCCUUCGAAAGGACGUAGUGGUCAGUAUAAGUACUACUUUAAUAUUGGUAGUGUUGAAUCAUUUGAGGAGAAGCUCGAAGAGGCCCAAGAAGCAAUAGGCAUCAAUUCUCAUGACUUUGUUCCUGUCACCUACGUCUCUGAAAUGAUCUGGUACCAAGAACUGUUGAGGUUUGCACCGACUUUACUUCUCUUGGGUACGCUAAUUUAUGGGGCAAGACGGAUGCAAGGUGGGCUGGGAGGUGUAGGCGGACCUGGUGGGAAGGGUGGCCGUGGAAUUUUUAAUAUAGGGAAAGCUCAAAUAACGAGAGCAGAUAAAAAUUCCAAGAAUAAGGUUAGCAUUUCAAUCAGAAUGGAAAAUGGAAUUACCACCUCAUUUCUCAUUCAUGAUGCUAUUGGGAUUUACAACUGAUAUUUUUUGGUUUUUGUCAGAUAUAUUUUAAAGAUGUUGCGGGAUGCGAGGAGGCUAAACAAGAAAUUAUGGAAUUUGUGCAUUUCCUUCAGAACCCAAAGAAAUAUGAAGAGUUGGGAGCUAAAAUUCCAAAAGGUGCGCUUUUAGUUGGCCCACCAGGGACUGGAAAGACCCUUCUAGCAAAAGCUACUGCAGGGGAAUCAGCUGUGCCUUUUCUGUCGAUAUCUGGUUCAGAUUUCAUGGAAAUGUUUGUUGGUGUUGGACCUUCCAGAGUGAGAAACUUGUUUCAAGAGGCUAGACAAUGUGCACCUAGCAUAAUAUUUAUUGAUGAGAUCGAUGCAAUUGGCCGUGCGAGAGGACGUGGAGGUUUCUCUGGUGGAAAUGAUGAGCGUGAAAGCACACUUAAUCAGCUACUAGUUGAAAUGGAUGGAUUUGGUACUACUGCUGGAGUUGUCGUCCUUGCUGGGACAAACAGGCCAGAUAUUCUUGAUAAAGCUUUAUUACGGCCUGGCCGGUUUGAUCGUCAGAUAACCAUAGACAAACCUGAUAUUAAAGGCCGUGACCAGAUAUUCCAGAUAUACCUAAAGAAGAUCAAACUUGAUCACGAGCCCUCAUAUUACUCGCAAAGGCUUGCAGCUCUCACUCCCGGAUUUGCUGGAGCUGACAUUGCGAAUGUCUGUAAUGAGGCAGCUCUUAUUGCUGCCAGACAUGAAGGAGCAACAGUUACAAUGGCGCACUUUGACUCUGCAAUAGAUCGUGUUAUUGGAGGUCUGGAGAAGAAAAAUCGGGUAUGUACUUCCGCCUUAUCAACAAAAUACCACUGUUUAUAUAUUUUGUUCAUUCAUAUUGGAACAUCCUCAAUAGUCAACAGGAAUCUAGGGUAGAUCUCAAAUGUGAAACCCAACAGAUCAGCUAAAGAUUUCCAUCUUUUUCCUCCCCCGGAAACCUGAUUGUUCUGUAAUUGUUUUUGGUGGUUUCAUGGGCACAGGUGAUAAGCAAGCUGGAACGGCGUACAGUGGCAUAUCAUGAAUCUGGCCAUGCGGUUGCUGGGUGGUUCCUGGAGCAUGCUGAGCCAUUACUAAAAGUGACUAUUGUUCCUCGUGGCACUGCAGCACUCGGGUUUGCCCAGUACGUUCCAAAUGAAAACUUGCUCAUGACAAAAGAACAACUCUUCGACAUGACUUGCAUGACUCUCGGUGGCCGGGCAGCUGAACAGGUAAAUUUAUCAACGUCCAACUCCUUUUGGUUGUGAAACUGAAAGUGUUAUGGGUGAAGGAUCAAAAAUAGGGACAUCCCAAAAUGCUCUCUUUAUUGCAAAUAAUCAAAUGUACCAAACCAACUCAAAAGCAAAAAAUAAAAGCUCAAAGGUCACUUUAAUAUCCUGGUAUAGAGGUCAAGAAUUCUCAUUAGAGUGGUCUUAAAGUUUCUGAAAUUUGUUUUCUAAGCUGUGAAUCCUGUGUUUUGGUGGGUCUUGAUUUCAGGUAUUGAUAGGAAGAAUAUCGACCGGGGCUCAGAACGAUCUGGAGAAGGUGACCAAGAUGACAUACGCGCAAGUUGCUGUGUACGGAUUCAGUGACAAGAUAGGAUUGCUUUCUUUCCCGCAACGGGAAGACGAGUUUUCCAAACCGUACAGCAACAGAACCGGUGCAAUGAUAGACGAAGAGGUCCGAGAAUGGGUUGGCAAAGCUUACAAGCGAACAGUAGAGCUGAUUGAGGAACACAAAGAGCAAGUGGCUCAGAUCGCUGAGCUCUUGCUAGAGAAGGAAGUUUUGCAUCAGGAUGAUCUCGCUAAAGUUUUGGGUGAGCGUCCGUUUAAGACGGGUGAGACGACGAACUAUGACAGGUUUAAAUCUGGAUUUGAAGAGACGGAGGAGAGCCAGAAGGAGUCUGUCACGGUGAAGCCUGUGGAGGGUGAUGGAGUUCCGCCACUUGAGCCACAAGUAGUUCCUACGUAGAUGUUGGGCACCCAGAGUUAUAUUACUACUCAUUGUAAAUUUAAUCGAAGCUCAUUGCAAUAACAAAACACGGUUCUGUAUCUUCCGUGACGGAGGGAUUGUUAUCAAUUUUACGUAGCUCUAUCAAUUUGAAUCAUUUGAAAGGUUCCAAUAUGAAAAUAAUUACUCUGUAAAGUGUUUUACUUUCAUCACAGUAUAAAUGUCAUUGUAUACAGCAAAAGUAAAGAAAAUCAAGUACACAAAACAAAAGUCCACAAGCUCUGCCUCCAGAAGAAAAAAUAAAACAGAACUUGGGAUUACAAGACAAUCUUUAAUGAACGAACAGAAAAGCUAAGAAGGGACCCAACAGGAAGAAGAGAAUAGGAUGCGACCUUUCCAACCUUGUAAGAACCAAUUACUAUCUUCAUCAAGGACAAAAUCUUUAUGAUAACCCCAUUUCUUCAUUUUCUUCCUAAAUGACUCCACAAGCUCUGCCUCCACAGGCUUUUGCUUAAAUCCAGCCCUUACCAUCCUUACUUGCCAUUGCUUGUAAGUCUCUGGUCUCUCGACUCUAUCUACACCUUCACAAGCUAUCACGUUCAUCACUUCUCUCCCAUAAAAUUCCCCUUCGAAGUGUAUCCUCUCCGGGUUUUCUCGCGACAGAGCCGCGCCAAACAAGUCAAACAACGCCGAGUAGUGAAACAGAGCUUCUUUGAACCGUGUGGUGAAGAAUGGAGCGUUGAAAGAUCCGUUAAUCGUUGAGCUGAGGAAAACGUUUGGGUUCAUGUCUCUGAUUAGUUUUAGGAAUCCGUCCCUCGGACAAUCCUCUUCGCCUGGAGUCACAUCCCGGAGGUUCUUGAACCGGAGAACUGUAUUAACCGCAAGAACUUCGUUUGGUCGGAUCUUGAACUCCUCUAUCCGGAUUGUUUCCCAGUUCUUAGAUGCAAUAGCAUUGUAUUCAAACGGAAUACCAAACCGUUUACAAUACUCCGUGAGUCUUCGACCCGUAUCCUGUAUCCUUUCGGUUGGUCGAAACCCGUGCUGCGGCAGCUCAAUGCCAGUAAUCCGUAGUUUCCGUAGCCCAAUUUUGCUCUUUCCUAAGUGCUGUAUAAACAUUGGCCACUGGAAACCGUAAAGGAUCCCGAAAUCGAUUAUAUGAAGAACCGAAGCACCCUUGGCAGCAUCAAGAAUCAUCUUGUUGGAGAAGAAAUAUAUCAAAGUCAUAAACGGAGAUGCAGACAAGAAUACCUCGUAGGAUUUAAGAAUCUGUGCAGCUGUUCGUUUCUUAGAGGUAAUGGAAUCGUAAUAACUCUGGAUCAUAGUUCCUGAGCUUCCUUGAAGACGGGCCUCAAGCGCAUUAGCGAAGAAAUGAGCUACUCUCUGAGAUGCAUCACCAAGAGGUGAACUUUGCUUCCUUAUCUGCCUCAGUAAAUCAUCAGCUGUAAUCUUAUCCCCUGCAGAAACUGACUGUGCGCAAAGUGUUAGAAGUGUGCGGAAAUCAACCGCUUGACUCUUCUUUUUAACCCGGCCGCCUCCUUUCUUAGCCUGAACCUUGCUUGAACCAUUCUCGCCAUCUUCUUUAAUCUGCGGAUCGCAUUCGCCAUCAAAAAGCAAAACCUUAUCAAACAUUUCUGUUAACUUCCCGUCUUCCACAUCCACUGCAUAUUGCUUGCUGCUCCUAGUUUCCUCUAGAUCAUCAUCUUCUUCUUCCCGCGCGUGAUGACUCUUCCUAGUUUUAGAGAUGCCGGACCAAUCUCUCUCUUUUUUCACCUGAACAACUCUUCCUUUCUCAGGCUCAAGAUUAAAGAUCCACUUAUCAGUAUUAGGAAGAAACUUGCUUGCUUCCUCUAGCCCUCUCUGAAACUGCAUAACUGAAUCUGCAUCGCUAAACAUACUCCUGACAAGAACCUCGUUCGCUGGCUUCCCGGCUUGCAACAUGGUUGACCCUGAAAACGACACAACACCUGAAUCACCAAGAUGGUUAUCAUACAACACUUCAGCCUCUGUAGAGUUAGCUGCUGUUUCGAUGCUGACACUAGAAUUGCUGUUACUACUGUUCCAAUAAUCACCACUACUAUUACUACUACUACUAGUAAUGGAAUCAGGAAGAUGAGACUGAGUGUGCGAGUCGUUGAUCACUUGCUGCAACAUCUCUUCGGUCUGUCGCAGAGCCAAGGAAUCGUAGGACAUAGAUUGCUUCUCCGCGAGAGUCUCUUCCAUAAGAAGCUGGUUUACAUAUUUCAAAAGGGUGUUUUCAGAAUCAAUCUCAUCAGCUGGAGGAGAGUAUUGAUCUAGUGAUGCUGGAACCCAAUUCGAAGGUUGGUGGUAUUGAUCAAUACGGAGAUCGAAAUCACUGGAAGAAGGAACACCGAAACCAGAACCAGGAAUCUGAUUUGGUAAGAAACUCACAUCGUAAUACUCGAAACCGUUGACCACCCUAGAGUAAUUUUUGGAGUCCAUCAUCCAAACAAACAAAAAGAAAGAAAGAGAGAAACUUUUUAUUUUGAAUUCAAAAACCUUAAUUCACUGAAUUUGAUACCUCUUUCAAGAGAGAGAAAGCACAGAACUUUACAAAAAGAUUAAGCAACGAAAAUUAUGAAUCAGAUGAGGAGAAAUCGGAACAACAUUGCUUACAUCUGAAGAAGAAGUGGGAAGAGUAGGAAAAGAAAAGAAAAAGGCAACAACUUUUUAAGAUGUUUAUUAAGUUAAAAAGGAUGAAACUUUUUUAAGGACAGGUUGGUGAAGAAUAUGCAAAUAUGCCUAUGCGUGAGAGCAGAAGCAAGUAGAGAGAUUAACGAGAUAAAAGGAAGAGGAGGAAGUUUCCCGGGAAACUCAAAAGGGGGACACAAGACCAGUCUUGCGAUUCGUCCGAGGAGGUCUCCACUUUCUCUCUCUCUCUUUUGACUUGUCCAUUUAUUCAGUGUUUUGUCAGUCAUGGGCCCAACAGGCCCAUGUUUUUCUUGAUAUAAAAAAAACACUAGUAGUUGAUCGUCAUGUCAUGUUAAUCACGACGAACAAGUUACCAAUUUUAUGAUGACUAGUAGUGGUCGAGGAAUAUAUAUUCUUUUCAUAGUAGUUACUACAAGUGUUUGUCUCCUAAUUCCCCUCAUUACAUUGUACAAUCCAUAUGUGAUAUGUUAUAUCAUAUGAUCCAUAUUUUUGUGAACGUAAAUAACUAAAUCGUACGUUUACGAUUGUCGAUAAUUUAUUUAUUUUGUGUUUGCAUUAAGAAAGUACUCGUUGACAAGAUUUCAAAACUGAAUAUGUCGACGCAUUUAGGAUAUUUAAAUUUCCUUCUUUUUUUUUUGUAAGUGUAUAGUGUUUUAAAAAUAGUUCUAAUUUGGGUUAUGUACUUAGAUAUAUUUUCUUUUAGUAGUUGAGGUCAAACCGUACAAAUCGUGUAUGUACACACCAUUAAGUUAUAAUUAUGUGAAUCAUAGAACUGAUGUUUUCAAUGUUUUGUAGUUGCAAUUUCCCAAUUAUAAAUGCACAAUAUCAAUCAGGUUCCAAACCCAUAUUAAUAUAUUUAUAUGACAUGAUAGCAACUCUAAAACAAAUUUCUAUAUAUAUAAAUCUAUUGUCCAAUAUGUACUUGAUCAUCAUCAACUCCUGUUUUAUGAUUAUUAAUUUGAUGUAAAGUCAAAAGUGUUCUCGCACGAAAGAUAUAUAUAUAUAUAUAUUACUUUGAUUCCAAAUGUUUCAAGUUGACAAAAAAAAAAAAAAAAGUUUCCUAAUGUAAAAACUUGGUGAUCAAGAUUGAUAAAGGUUGCUGAUAGGUGGAGUUGAUUAUUUGACCAGUACGAUUUAUUAUUUUUGUAAUAUAAGUUGCCGAUGAAUAACAAAGGCAAUAAACAAAACACAAGAAAAAGGAAAGGACCCCUCCAGAUCUGAUCUCACUCACAAUGUCAUUCUGACAUAUAUACUGUGAGAUUCUCACCAUCUAUACAAUAAUAAUUGUACUCGUACAUGAAAAGAUAGAUACAUUACAUUAAAUAAUAUACAUGGAUGUAGUCAGAAAGAAAAAAACUUGAAUUUGAGUGGGUGUCACGUUUGAGUGCCUAUACUUUUUCCCGUACCUAAAUAAAUUAUUCAAACGAGCUGUUAGCCAAAACAAAAAAAACUGUAGUGAGGAAAAGCUCAUUGGAUUUGAUUAUUUUCUUUGAUUUUUGAGAUUAUGUUUUUUGUUUAGUUAAUAAUUGUUCAACUUUAACCAAACAUCAUGUACGAGACACGUCGCAGUCUGCGAGCCUGAUGCAGUCGAACUUUGUAAAACAAGACUUUGAAAAAAAUGUAACAUUUCAUUCUUUAUUCAGCAAAAGAUUACAUGAAACAUAUAGCAAAAGCUUAUGUUGUGAGUACUACUAUAUCUCAUAUAUGUUAUACUCUUACACACACACACACACACACGCUAUGUCACAAGUAUAUAUAACAAAAUACCCUAGUGUCCAAGAACCUAACUCUGAACUUAAUCCACUCGUGUUGGCGAGAGAGACUAUCAACAGAAAAAAGCCCUAGAUAGAAGAACCCAGUCGCUUAGAAAGCAAGAAAGAACAUCUACGAAGAAGGAACCCAUACAGAUGAAGCAUACACGAUUCUACCUUUCCAACCUUGAAGCAACCAAUUACUGUUUUGAUCUACAUCAAAGUUUUUAUCGUACCCGUUAUCAAUUUUCAACUUCAGAUUUUGCAUCAGUUCCUUAUCAAGCGGAAGCUGUCUAAAUCCGGCUCGGACCAAUCUCGCCUGCCACUGCUUAUACGUCUCUGGUCUCUCUACUCUCUCCGUUCCUUCACAAGCCACGACAUUAAUAAUCUCUCUCCCAUAAAACUCUUUCUCAAACAUCAGCCUCAUCUCGUUUUCCCUCGCUAGCUUCGAGUCACACAUAUCAAACACAGCCGAGUAAUGAAACAACGCUUCUCUGAACCUCGUGACAAAGAAUGGCGCGUUGUAAUUUCCGCUUAGGAUCGCCGGGAUGAAGACGUUUGGGUUCACUUUUCUUAUCAGCUUCAAAACCGCAUCUCUUGGGCUGUUUACCAGAACGGUCUCAUCUAGAAGGUUCUUGAAACGGAACAAAGAGUUCACAACUACAUACUCUCCUUGUCGAAGCUUUAAGUCUUCGACUUUGAUUGUUUCCCAUUUCUGAGCAAUUGCGUUGUACUCAAACGGAACAUUGUGUCGCUGACAGUAUCGAGCCAAGCGAUGACCCGUUUCCUGAACUCCUUCCGCUGGUCUAAAACCGCGUUGAGGAAGCUCUAUACCGGUAAUCCGUAGCUUAGGUGAACCACCAGGUCUGAGCGAGAGGCGAUGAAUCAGAGCAGGCCACUGAAAACCGUAAGAUAUACCGAAAUCUAUUAUGUGGAUGGUGUUGGCGUUUUCAGUGAAACGCAUCAUGCUGUGGUUAGCAAAUAUGAUAGCAGCUUUUUUGAACGGACAGACCAACAUGUAUGUCUGGUAAGCCUUCAACAUAUCUGCUGCAGAUGUUUUCUUUGAAGAUAAAGCAGUGUAUAUCUGUGUACCGGUCCCAGCUAAGCGUGCUUCAAGACUAUUUGCAAAAUAAUGAGCCAAUCUCUCGGACCCGUUGCCUAGAGGCGAAGAAUGCUCCCGUAUCUGUCUCAGCAUUUCGUUGGCGGUUCUACGAUCAUCCACUGAUACAGCUUGUGCACAUAACACCAAAAGAGUCCUCAAGUCAGCAGUUUCUUUCUUAGCAUCGUUACUUUGACUAGUAGCAUUUGAUUUCUUCCCACGAAUCUUUGCUCCAUUUGACUGCACCCCAACUUGCUGUGUCGUCUCAACUUUUGCUGGAAACUUCUGGUCAAGAAUGCAUACGGGUUUCCCAGUGCUACAUACCAAGAUCUUAUCAAACAUUUCAGAAAGCUCGCUUUCCUCAACAUAAACAGCUGAUUGCUUGUUACUUCUUUCUUCAACAGAAUCUUCAUCAUCGUCACGCCAAUGAGUUUUCUUUCCAGUCAAUCUGUUUGGGGGAGGAGCAGAGCUAUGAUGUUCUGUCUCAUCCUUCUUCUCUGUCUUGACAAAAACCUCAGAACCAUUUUCCUUGGAACCUGAGUCUCUGGGGAUGUAACUAUCCACAUCGAUAAAGAGCUGAGAAGAUUUGGGAAGAAACUUACUCGCUUCCUCCACCCCUCUCUUGAACUGCAUAGCUAAAUCACUAUCUUUAAACAUAUUCGAAACCAAAUCAUCGCCAAAACCUGACCUGAAAACCGCACUAUUACCACCACCACUGGUGACACUGUUAGAUCUAGAAGUGGACUGGAAAACAAAAUUACUCGGCAUGGGUGUCUGCAACCAAGAAGAUCUACUCUCUAAACCAUCGACACUCCAGUGUGAAUCAGAGGAAGUGGUAGUGGUGGUGCUAGCGUAGUCACUAAAGGCACCACCAGAAAAAGAACCGUCGGGGCUAUCGUUAAGCAAUUUCUCAGGAUGGUCCACAGAAGAAGGGUAUUUCUCGCCAAGGGCCUCAUAGAGAGAUUUCUCAGCAGCUUGAAGAGCCAAGGCGUCAUGAAACAUACAAGGCUUCUCUUCCAUGUCCUCCUCCAUAAGCACUUGGCUUAUAUACUUCAAAACCGAAUCCGAGAAAUCAGCAUCAUCAGACGGAGAUGAUAACAGAUCUCCUGUUGCAGCUUUGUCGUCGUUCUGGGGAUAUGACUGCGGAGGAGGGUCCAUGGAUACGAAAUCUAAGAAAGGCUCAUCUAGAUAGAAUCCAUUAGCUAAACCUAUGGUAUUGUUCGAGGCAGGCAAAUCAAACUCGCUAGUGAAAUCGUCCAUGGAUCCAGGGAACCCAUCCGGAUAAGAGCCCAUGGAUCGAACAAGAGCUUAUGUUCUCCAGAAAUCAAAACCCAAAAUCCAAAGUCGUAAAAAUCAAGUAAAGGACGAAACUUUAUACCUGAUCAAUCACCCAAAACCAGACCACCGGAGAUGAGAAAAGAGAAGAGAGUAGAAAAGAAAAAAGGAGGGAGAUUAGAGAGAAGAGAGCAAAACCUAGUAGUGGGAACGAUUGAGAGAUUCGGCAACAAGAUGACAAGGAAGAGCCUGUGUACGUGGUGUGGUCUAGAGAGACAGAGAGAGACUAGAGAGAAGAAGAAGAAGAAGCAAACGAGAGAGAGAGAGAUAAGAACUAAUUUAAUUGUUUUUUCACUCGAUAGAUAAGAUAAAAUAAGUAUUUGGCCUUUUUUUUAUAAAUUCCAUAAAAUUUCCCUAUCUAAUUUUAAUUUGAAAGUUUAAUACCCAAUGUUAUUUGAUUGGAAACAAAAUGCAUGGUUUAUUAAUUUGUUGUCUAUUAAUAUAUCAAGUAUAUAAAAAUUGUUGAAUCGAAUAAACCGCUUAAGAACCGAUAAUCGGAUUGACGGAAUCACUAAACCGGGGUUAAUAAAAUUACACUAAACUUAGGGUUUAUCGAUCCCAAUUCGAUUUGAGGUAAUAGCAAAAGACAAUGUAGCCUUUGGAUAACCCCAAAUUACCCGUGUGUUUAGGGAUUAGUGAUUUCGUCAACCUCGGUUUAGUGAUUCCGUCAAUCCGAUUAAGCGGUUUAUUCGAUACGACAAUUUUUAUAUAGUUAAUGUAUUAAUAGACCAAAAUUUAAUAAACCAUGCAUUUUAUUUCCAAUCAAAUAACAUUAGGUAUUAACUUUCAAAUUAAAAUUAGAUGGGGAAUUUUUAUGGAAUUUUCCUUUUUAUUUUUUUCCCUCUUAUAAUUUAAGUGUCUGAAAGGAAUCUUUCCGGUUCCGGACAAUAUGCAGUAAUUCUUUUUUACUAUUACUACAAAAAGAUUGUUUAAAUUAUAUUAUGAAAAUAAUAUACAUAUAUUUUUAUGAAAAUAAUAUACAUAUACUUUCAUAGAAAGAUAACGUAAUAAGUGUUUAAAUAUAAUAUGAAAAUAAUAUACAUAUACUUUCAUAGAAAGAUAACGUAAUAAGUGUUAAAUAUGGAACUGAUCAUAAAGAUCACAGCAAAUAUUUGUAAAUUGAUAAUUCUUAAUACAGUAAAACCUCUAUAAAUUAAUACUCGAUAAAUUAAUAAUCUCUAUAAAUUAAUAAAUUUCCCAGGUCCCAACUUGGGACCAGUGUAAUUUUAGACAUAUUUCGAUAAAAUAAUAAGAUAAUAAUUUUUUUGAAAAUCCUUUGUAGAUAUAUAGUCCCAUCAAUAUUAUAAAUUAAUAAUUAGGUAAAAUUUUCAAAAUAUAUGUAUAUAUAGACACAUUAGUUUUUGUUAUAUUUUAUUUAUAAUAUUUUACUAUAUGAAAAAUAGUUAGCAUUAUCUUUUAAUACAUAAUAAUUUUUAUUUUAUUUUUAAUUGAUUAUAUAAAAUACUAAUUAUCAUGAUUAAAUCUUAUUUUUAAAUAUUGUCUUAAAUAUUUUCCAAAUUAGGAAUAUCUCUUUAUAAAUUAAUAAUUAUUAAUUUAUCGAUAAAUUAAUACCUCUAUAAAUUAAUAGAUUUUCAUGGUCCCAACAUUAUUAAUUUAUAGAGAUUUUAUGUAGAUGGAAAAUUAAUCAUUCAACUUUCUUUUCCCAAUUUUAAAAAUUCAACUCAGUACCUACCCACUGUUCUUUGGUUGACCGGUUUAUGUCGAAAAGUAAAAAGUUAAUUCCCAUCAUCUUAUUUAUUACAAGGAAUAUAUAAAUAAAUAAAUAAAAACUUGGAAGAAAAGAAACAAGAGAGCAAACAAAAACAGAGAAAAACAAACACCCAAGACGAAAUUGAAAUUGUGUCUUAUGAAGAGGAUCGAGCCAAUGACGACAGACGAAGCCAGAAAGGUCCGUCUCUUUGGAUGUAUGAUUGAUGAUUGACGGCCUUCGUUGGUGGGCUACUCUCUUGUUGCUUUCGGGUUCAUUGACCGUUUCUCCAAUCUUGAAACUUACUUAAAGACUUGAAUCGUUCUAUUUAUUGUAGUAAUGCCUAAUAAUCAAUGAACAACUUGGACAACAAAUACUAGUCGGACGUAGGAACUAUGAAGUGACAAAUUUUAAAUAAUCUCAUACGAAAAUUAGACAAUAAUAACUGAUCGAUCAUAAGAGAUUCAUAAAAAAUGACAUUAUCGGAAAUGAAUAGUUGAUAUUCUUAUAUUUAAGCUUUAUAUAGUUAUUAGAUCUCACUGUCCUUUAACAUUGGCCUAAUCGUAGCCACAUGCAUGAACACAUCCAACAAAAAAUAAAAAACACUUUUUCUAACCCGCAAAAACAACGAUGCUAUCAAAACAUAUAUAACGCAUAUAGGUGUCGACUUUUUUGAUAAAGAUCUGUAACAAGGAAAGUGACAUCUCCAAUUAUAUAUCUCCAUUGAUCGAUAAGAUCCUAAAGAAUCUUCCACCAUAUAUACUCUUUCUUUCUCUGUAAGUACUGUCCAAAAAAGUGUGUGUUAGCCAUUGAGAAAAGUCGCAUAGCUAUUACCACAAAAGGCCAAAGUGAAUAAUUAUUGGUACGUAUGUUUUGUUCCAUUUCUUCUUAUCAACUCAACCUUUUUUUGUUUGUCAAGGAAUCUUGUCUCAAGUCCCCAUUUGUUUUGUAUAUAUCACAGAGCUAUAUCUCUUGUUCCAUCCUUCCAAAUGUAACCUUCCUAAGAAGUUACAACUUAGGGACUGAUCAGCAUAUAUCUCUGUUUCUCCACAUCCUAAUAGUAUCUCUAUUAUUAAUCUAACAAGUUUCAAAGUUAGAUGAUUUUUGAAUUUUCAUGAUAUACAUACGAGCGAUUUGCUGACAAACUCAUAAUUACGAAUAGCUUGCGAGACACUCUUUGUGCGGAUUCUUCAUAAAAAUAAAAACAAUACACCAGAAAGAUCUCAGGAAGAAACCUCUUAUUAUAACAACGCUGUGUGACAAUUACAUCAGACUUCACAUAUCUUCAUCUCUAUCUUCUUCUUCAUCACAAUCCAUUUCCCUUUUUUUUUUACAUUUGAAUCUCCUCAAAUACAUAACAUAACAAAACAAAUAAACAAACAAACAAAAGAAUGUAUAUAUGAAGGAAAAAAAAAUAUUCCAGGUUCAUCCCGCUAACGUUCAUUUUUCACGUCGCAAAGAUAACAUUUGUUGUUACCCGGUCUAUAGACCAAGACUGGUCUCGAGUUUAUGGGGUCCUUCUAGCAACUGGUGUUUCCCCUGUUGCUGGGACCAGUAGGCAUGAGCCGUUAGUACCCUGUCUAAGAGCUCCUGUGGAACCGGCUCACCUCUCCUUUGUUGCGGUGAGAUUCUUGCCGUGUGCACCAGCGUCUUCCAUUUGUCCUAUUUAUUAUUCACAUCAAACCCAUGUUACUUCUUGCACAAUCAAAGUAUACCUCAUUACUGCACCUACCUGGUGAAGGGACUGAGUUGUAAAAGGAGAGGUUUUCAUCUACCUUCAAAUCAACGUAAGUCCGGUGCUUAGCAUUAUCAAAAGCUCGCAACUUUACAUCACGCCACCUGCAGAUAGAUGUGCCCAGGAAUAUUAGAAUUAUCAUGGACCUAAGUACUGAUGGAAAUUAAGUCUUAUACUUUUGGUCUAACAUAAAACAUUUUAGUUACCUUCCGGUGCCAAGUCUCUCCACAGCUUGAACAAGGGCCUCUACUUCUGCAACAGAGAAAGGUCUACGGAUUCUGCGCUGUGCCACCUCAGAUCGCUUGGUUUUCCGAGGUGGGACUACGGUCAAAGCCUGAGCAUGCAGAGGAGGGACUGGAAUCAGGGCUCUGGAGUAUAUGGUUUUAGCCCUAUUUGGUGCAGAGGGUUUGGAGUCAAGGUCACUUUCUACAGAAUUACUCGGUUUAGCAUGCUUCCCCGGUGAUGGGAGACACCUAGUGUGAUCCACACAAGUUCCGAAAAACAUCAGCAACAUAAUUAUUUUCUACACCAAAGAAAAAAGAAGCAAACACUGAUCUCUGGAGUGACACUGACCUUGGUAAAGUGUUAGGUACAUUACAGGGACGCACAGAGUCAGAAUUAUCUUCAGGAGGUAGUGGUUUAGUGGAUUGUGGAGGAUUGGGCUCAAAACAAAACCCUAAAGUAUCUGAAAGAGUGUCUAAAGAGAGUCCACUCUGAAGCAGCAUUUUACUGUCGUCUCUAACCUUUUUCCCAUGAGCAAGAACACCUAUGCGUAAUCCACCUCCAAGUAUCGAGGUCACAGCUUCCAAGACUGUCCUCUAGAGAAGAGGAAGUAAAUUUUCAUCAUUAUCACCGGACACAUGAAUGACCCUUUCAGAAAUUUCUAAGUCAAAGAUCCAAACCUUUAGUGAACCAACAGUUGCUGUCUCUGGAAUCUCAAUGAAAAGUUCAGGAACUCUAAAUGACUUAAUUCCAAGUUUCACUAAGCACGGCAAAGAAAAAUGAACUCAAUCAAAUUACAAAUCUCAUGAGUGAUAACUGAUAAGAACAUGAAAAGCUUCAUAAAAACAUUUACCGUGAGAAUCUCUUGAUUGCAACGCUGGCUGCUUCUGGCAAGCUAUGGAAGAUAGAAAACCUGAAGCUGCAGAGAACAAUGCUCAGAGUUAAUCAUAACGUGGUUUUGACGUUGAAGUUCAAAUGACUAGCUUUUGGUAAUACCCUUUCGAGGUGAACCAGAAAGGCCAUCAGUUUUAGCAGUUUCUUCGGAUUGUGAUGCUGUAUAACCAUCAAAGUAUCUUCUUUUUUUAAUAGGAAAGUUCCUCUCUGAUCUUAGGCUUUUGAGACAAUGUUUCUUGCUGUAGUAAUCAUGCUUCAUGUCCAAGUCUAAACAUUUUCAUUGAUAAGGCCAUAAGUAAACCAAGACAUCUUUAAAAGAACAUAUAACUAGUAGCCCACAAAUGGUCCAUAUAUAUGUUCACCUGAACUAGUUACCGUUGUAUCUCUUGGCUUUGGAGAGACUUUACAAUACUUUGAAGCCAAAACUUUCCUUAUUCUUCUAUCUCCAAUACGCAGAGUUGACCUAAAUGAUUUUGUUCUGUAACGGGCUGAGAAGUUUUCGUCAUCAUCAUUUCCCUUACCAUGUAAAUCUAUAUCAUCAGAGCAUGCUGAAGGAUUUUGAGGAAUUGGUUUCCUGAAUCCACUACCUAUAUGAUUCUCAUCCUUGGCUAAAACAUUCCUUGAUAACUUUGCUUCAAAAUUUAGCCCCCCAAACAUUGGUUUCUUAUCGUUACACUCUGACCUAUAGCAAUGAUCACUAUUGUCGAUCUUGGUGUCCUCAUACACCAAUCCUUGAGUUUCAAACUUCUCAGAAGAAUCAGAGGUUAUACCAGAAGAAGAUCCAAAAUGGAACUCUGUAAGGGGACUUGGAGAUCUAUUAAAACUCUGAGUUUCAUGAGAUUUUGGAAGGAUCUCAGAGACAAAAAAGCUUCUUUCAGGAUUAUUAUUAUUAUGAUCACAAUUAGUAGUCUCUUCUUCAACCAUUAGGUCGCCGCCGUUAAGCUGUUCUGUCUUAACUGCACACUGAUCGUCAUUAUUACCAGAUGCGUUGUUACUUGAGGAAGAAGAAUUCCCACCUUCAAGAAGCAGUUUUCCAGCUACUGCAGCCAACAGAUCGAACGACGAUAUUUGAUGGUUUUCGCUUUUCUUCUUGAAAGCACUCUUCUAGACAAAACACAAAACAUACAUAUCAGAGGAGGGGAAGAUUGGAACAUGAAACCGUUAUGAGAAACACAAAAGUGAAGAAAUCUCUUUUAUUUACUCUUGGUGAUCUAGCAGCUCGAGGUGUGUGAGGCACCUCGUAGCCAUUGAAUCCAUAAUCGAGCCUCUUUUGCAACACCAUGAUUCGAAGAACAUUUCAGACAUUCAGCAAAAGGAAGGCAUCUUCACGGAUUACAAGAUCACCUGCAGGAAAACAAAACUAUGUUAACGAGUCCAACAAUGUAUUAGAAUUUUCCAACAGAUCUAUUUAUAUCAUCCUGAGAGAUAUCUCUUUUAAGUUAAACCUCGCUAGAACCCAAUAAUUUUCUACUUGCCAAGAUUAAAAGCCUCACUUGAUUAAUUAAUGAUUGUAAAGAAAGAAAAAGAAACAGAGCAAGAACUCAGACCAGAAUAUCUAAUUGGCAAGAAAAAUAAAUGAAAACCUAAACAUUAAAUUCAUGAAACCAAACACAGUUAUGGUUCUUAGGAAACACAUCGAAACCCACGUUAAAUAAAAAUCCUUCCUUUUAUUCAGGUUCUAGAAACAGGAUUCACCGCAAUUCGAAUAGCAGAUCCAAGAAAACAUCAAAAAAUUCUCACCUUUUCGAGAAACAAGGCAAAUGCACGAGGAUCAGAGAAACAAGAAGAAUCAGCAGACUGAAAUAAAAAUGUUUUCGUUUUCAAUUUUCACAUCAAAACCAAAAAAGAAAAGUCUCUGUUUUUGUGUUUUUGUGUUUUUAUGUUUUUCUUGGUGGGAAGGAAAAUGAAAAACCCCUGUAAUGUGGGAAAGGAAGAAAAGAGAAAGAAACUACGGAAGGAGAAGAAGGGCUUAAACCCCUGGUCUUAUAACGAACGAGUAGUAGUAACAACAGAGGAGGACGUGUCCGAAAGAAAGAAAGAAGAAGAGCGAAUAACCGGCUAUAACCAGUAAACCCCACCCUGAAGACCUGUUCUUCUUCUCCCCUUGUUGGGUCACCCACCACUCCCCCCCUGAUUCGGACACGUGUUCUCUCUGUCGGAUCGUGCGGCCUUUUUUACCACACACGAACUUCGACAAAAACGUUCAGUCACAUAUGCCAUGUAACCUUUCUUUUUUUUCCUUUUUUUUUUUCUUUUUCUUAAGUCCAAGCCAUGUCAUUCUCCUUUUUUCCUUUUAUUGUCUUUUUCAAUUUUCCUUUUAUUUAUUUUGAAGGAUCCCUCUCUUAUAAAAACAAAAAGAAAAUUAGUUUUGAUAAUUUUGUUUUCCAAUGGAGAAAUAAUAUUUAUUUAUCUGAUGCAAAAUACGUAAAAACCUAAGGUACAAUACAAUAUGUGGCAAGAUAAGCAUCCACAACUUAACAUUUAGGUAUAAUCAUGAACGUAAUUCAAAUGAGAGUUAAUUCCGUAGCAUGGGAUGAAGUUUUAAACAUAAGCACAUUUAAAGAUUUGACUACAACCUUUGGAGAGUGUCUUUCGAAGAGAAAUAUAAAGAUAAAAAGACUAACGAGCUGAAGGAGUAUCACUGAUGGAAGUUAUGCUGUCUACCAAGGACUUUGUUGAAUUUGAACCUUGGCUCCUUCGUUUUCUUAAGUUCUCAUAUAUUUCCAAACACUCAUUUAGUUCAUGAGCAACCCGAGUCAUGUUUGGCCUCUCUGUGGAACAAGGGUUAAUGCACGACAUCGCUAACUCAAGAGCUUUCCAAGAUGAACCUGUGUCGUAAUCUUGAUGGAGAUUCGGGUCCAUAAUACUUUCAAUAUCACCAUUUGAUAUCAUAGAUAUUGCCCAUUCUACAAUGUAAGACUUAUCACGCGAUUGUUCGAUCACGUGUUGGCCAGUGAUUAUCUCUAGUAACACAAUCCCAAAGCUAUAAACAUCACUCUUCUCUGUUAACCAAUUCUUUUUGUAGUAUCUGCAAGAUAAGUAAUUGAAGAUAUUUGAAUUUUCCAUACUAAACAACUUGACGACUAAAAUGUGAUAUGAACUAAAACUUACUCAGGAUCAAGGUAUCCAAGAGUUCCCGCAACAUUUGUUGAUACAUGAGUUUGACUCCCCACUAGAAAAGAUCUCGAAAGUCCGAAAUCAGCGAGUUUAGCUUCAAAUUGUCGACCUAGCAGUAUAUUGGUACUUUUCACAUCUCUAUGAACCAUUGGCGGCUUACAUCCAAUAUGCAAAUAUUCAAUUCCUAGUACAUAAAAUCUUCAUAUGUUAACUAUAUAUCACUAAAAUAUGAAUUUUAGAAGGCAUAUGGAAAUAUCAAAUAUAAUUGAGGAAAAAGUAACAAAAAUUAUACAUACCUAGCGCAGACUCAAUAGUUAUCUUAAGUCUACCCGACCAGUUCAAAACAGAGCCACCACGUUUUCCUGUCAAAAUUCACAAUAUGGGACAUAAAUCAUUAGAAAAUUUUAAAAGCCUAAAAUAUCUGUGUAUCAUACUCUAAUGGUACCUGAGAGAUGUUCCCUUAAGUUUCCGUAUUCCAUGAACUCGUAGAUGAGAGCCAAGUCAUUUCCUUCAUCACAGUAUCCGACGAGGCUUACUAAAUUCACGUGGUGAACUCUAAGAAGUAGUUCGACCUAACAAUCAACAAUAUGGUAUAAUUCAUGAGCUUAAGAUUGUCCAAAAAAAAGUAGAAGAUUGUAGUGUAAUUAAGUACUUCUGUUUUGAAUUCCUUGUAGCCUUGAGUUGAUGAUUGAGAGAGAACUUUGACAGCUACUUGCUCAUUAUUGAGGAAACCAUGAUAAACAAUACCAAAGCCUCCUUUACCGAGAACAACUUUGAAGUUACUAGUCAUUUCUUUGACCUCUGAAUACGUAAAUCUUCUAUUUUUCAUUUCAAGUGAUGGGCGCAUAACUGCAGAAAAUAAUUGUAUAGAUUGAGAUUGCAUACUUCAGUAGGAUCAUAUAUAUUUAUAUUAACUACCUUUGCGAGUUGAUGACCUUCUCCUUCUGAAAAUGAAGAUGAGAACCAACACGAUAAUAACAACUGCCGCAGAAGAUAUAGACGCAGCAACAAUCGCCACCAGUCGGGAUCUUGGUUCGCUUGAUCCACGCGGCUUAUUAUUUUCAUCGACACUAAAGAGUGAAAACGUUAUUGAAGAAAUAAAUUAUCAAACGAGAGUGGAUUAGUAAUCAAAAUUAAAUAAGAUCGUCUCAAAGCAGAAUCUUACUAUAGCUUUAAUCCAUCUUUUUCUCUUUCCAGAAGGGCUUGAGGAACAAAACCUCUAAGAUUGUUUCCUCUAAAGUUUCUGUAUAUGUAUGUGGAGAAAUCAUAAGAAACUAAUGUAGACAACACAAUAGGUUUUAGAUAACUUACAUGACCAACAACGAUUUCAUCUUGGCUAGAAAUUCAGGCACCUCUCCAGUCAAGUUGUUAUUUGAUAAAUCCCUAAAAUUUUCCAAGCGAUAGAUGUUAACGUAGCAAUCCAUAUAGAGUUUCUUUUUUUCCUUUCGUUCAAUCAUGUACGUAGAUACCUACAAUUCUCGAAGCAGACUUAGAUUUUGUAUGCUAGGCGGUAUAACUCCAGUUAAUCCACUUGAAGAUAGAUCUCUGUUUUGCAUGACCGCAAAGACAUAUCACAUAAAGAUGCAUUUAGUUUAAUAACAAUGAAUAAUAUGAAUUUCCUUACAACGCUAUGAUUCUUGGUGGAGUGGAGAUAUCAAUAACGUUGCAGCUUAAACCAUUCCAUGAAAACUGUUUAGGGACACAUGGAUCACCCUGCCAGCUGAUUCGACUCAACUGAUAAGUAGAUUGAAUGUUCUUGAUAGCAUUGACUGACCAAUGUACGAGCAAAAAAUAAAAUAAAAAAUUAAACAUGUGGAAGAACAGAACUUAUACGUUUUAUAUAUACAUGCAUAAAACUAUACGGCUACAAUAUACCAUCAUCUCUAUUCGUCUCUGAUUGUGGAAAUUGUAUGACGCUAAAAAGCUCUAUAGCAUUCAGUAGAGGUGGUAGAUUCGAUUUGGGCGUUUUUGACAGCUUCAGAAGACAUACCCCUCCCUCGCAUUUCAGCGGUGCAGGGUUAAAUAAAGUGUCUUCUUCAAAGUUCAUAGGACUAUAAGAAAUGUAAACUUUACCAUUGGCCGCAAUUUCGAAUUCCCUAGUUUCGUUGGGUUGCAAUCUUUGGAUCUCGGCGAAGUAAAGGUAAAUAUACGUUUCGUCAUCAGAGGCUUCCAAAUUCCAGGUAAAGGAAAAUGGUUCGCUGACAUUAGUGGGUAUGGCAGCGGUCGUAAUUACAUCUCGUGGCGCGUCAUAGCCAUCAGGAGAGCCACUUACAUUCAAGGUUGUGUUUAUAUGAGUCCAUUCCUGUUGUAAGUAUGGAGUCCAAACACGAUCAUAGACAUCUUUUGGAUAGCUGCCACAACCAAAUUAUUAAUUACUUUAUACCAAUAAGCCAACACUGAUGUAAAUAUCAAUAAGCCCAAAAAAACAAAAAAAACACACAUGGUUAUUUUAUAGAAGAGUCUUAUGUUGUUGACAUACCGUAUUAUCUUGUCUGAAUUAAGGAAGUAGAGGUGCGCAAUAUUCAUCAAGGAACCGGUUCGAGUAGUAUAAGUAUCAUAUCGCAAGGGUCUCAACUCUAUGGCUGAUAUCAUUGGUGUACUCGUCCCAGUUUUGACGAGACAUAUCUCCAAGAUGUCUGACUUGGUGAUGUGAAUGAUCUCCUCGACAACUCCAUCACCUAUGCCAGAUAUUAGCACAUCUACGCUUUUCCAAAUAUUAGGACCGAGAUAUAGGUCGAAUCUUGGAGAAGUAUUAAGACCGUCAUAGUUUCCGUAUAAAAACAUAGUCCUGAUUAGAUACUUUGUGCCUUGCUUCACACUCAAACUGUAGCAGUUUCUAGUUCCAUCCGGGAAGUAUCUCAAAACCUUGAAUGGCUUCCCGACAAGGUCUGUCUCUGCGCUAAUUUUGAUAUUACCAGUUUUUCCUCCUCGGAUGAAAUUGACAUCAGAUAUGUAUGUUAAAUUGGUCAAUGGUUCGUUAUAAGGAGAUUCAUUAGAAGGUAAUCCACAGUCCAAACUGAUGAAUCCUGGUAAAACAAGAUUGUAAACUAUCCGAACAAGAUUUCUUGUGUGUUUAUUAGAUUAAAAAUUGUGUAAAAGACAAUAAAAAUACCUUGUUGAUUUUGAGACUUAACGAAGGAUAUAAUGGAGAAAGUGGCACAAGCGAGUAGCAGAAGCUUGUUACGAGUCUCCAUUCUCGAUUCUGGACUUAACUGCUUCUCACUUCUAAACAAAACAAAAACUUAAGGACAACCAAAAAGUCUUUACAUAUUUUACUAGGAACUCCUUCUGCUCUUAUGAAGUCAAAAAGUAGGCAGUUGACAUUGCCAAGUCUAACAUCUUGGACAUAUGGAAACGUCACUUCCAAGCUAUCUUAAUGUAAGUGGCAAAAAAAUAUAUAUACAAAAUAACAGUCUAAGAUGGAACGAGUAAUAUUUAGGAAGCUGUCAAAUAAUAUAUGGUUCAUUCCACCACUCCGAAUCAACAUUUAAAUUUUUAACUAUAUUAAGUUGGACAAGAAAUUCUCAAAGCACAUGAUUAAAAAAUGAGUUGAUCAUAACGUUUUAGGUUACGGUUUACGGUAUGAUGUAAUUCUAAUAUUAAACUUGUAUUAGGCAUUUUGUGAUACUAAAUUUAAUUUAUUCAUUUAAUUUUUAAUAAUUAAUUAGAUUUUGUUACAAUCUCAUCAUCUAAACAUUUACAACUAACCGUUUCAGAAAUUUCAGCGUAACACACUUAAAAAGAUUUUAUAGUUCCACUUGAAAAAGUAUUUUAACAUAUAACAUAAAAUUAUGAGAAUUUAGCAGCAAUAACCAAAAAAAAAAAUCUUUGUAACCAUCAAACCCUCAUACUUUCUAUAUUUUCUACAAUAUAUACUACUCUGUCUUUUUCACCACCACCUCUUUUAUCACCUAACACCACCACCUCUACCACCAUCACCACCACCUACUCUCUUACCACCACCUUAACACAACCUUCACCCACUAUCUUCAGCCACCACUUCCGACAACCAUCACCUCCAACCACCUCCUCCGGCCAUCUCUUCCGACCACCACCUCUGGCCACCAUCGCCGAAAACUGACUUUCGACCACUACCGCCGCCACCGACCCCCGGCCACCACCGCCGGCCACCACUAUCAUCUUCACAUGUGCCCUCUUUUGUCCUUUUACAUUGACCAAUGGUUAUUCACCUAAUUUAUUGUAUUAAUAUGUUAUAUUUUUUGUUGGUUUUUUUGUAUUGGUUAGAGAGCUAAUUCACCCUAAAAUUAUUUUACUUUGCUCGCCUAUGUUAAUUUGCUAGUUUUGCGAUCUUGUUUCUUCUCACGCGCUCUAGUUUUGCAAUUUUGGAAAAUUAGCCGAUUUGGAGCGAGUUAUUAACACACGCUAGUUUUGCGAGUGCGGAAUUUGUUUUCACGCGCUAUAGUCUUGGAUCAGUUAUUUUAUCAGAGUCCCGCUGACAAUUAUACUGGGUAGUAUAAUUUUGUACUACCCCAGUAUUUUUAACGGCCCAUAUGUGAUUUAAUAUCAUUGCACUACCAGUUCGUUACUUCGAUUCGAUCAUUUUUCUUACUUAUGUUUUUUUUUUUAUCUUGUUUACGUUACACUUUUUUUUUUUUUUGUUGCAUUUACAUUAUAUCAAACUUGGAGUCACUUCCGUACCAGGAGAUAACGCUUUUUUAACACUAUUCACAUUACAGACUUGAAUACAACCAGUAUAAGCUUCAAAGAAUAUAGAUGGAAAGAUUAACGAGCUGAAGGACUAUCACUGAUGAAACUUACGUUAUGUACCAUGGACUUUGAUGAAUUUGCAUCUUGGCUAUUUCUUUUACUAAAGUUGUCGUAUAUUUCCAAACACUCGUUUAGUUCAUGAGCAACCCUGGUCAUGUUUGGUCUCUCUCUAGAAGAAGGGUUUAUGCAUGACAUUGCUAAUUCAAGAGCUUUCCAAGAUGAUCCCGUGUCGUAUUUUCCCUGGAGAUUCGGGUCCAUAAUUCCUUCAAUAUCACCAUUCGCUAGCAUAGACGUCGCCCAUUCUGAUAAGUAAGAAUUUUCACGGGAGUAUUCAAUCGCAGGCUGGCCAGUGAUUAUCUCCAAUAACACAAUCCCAAAGCUAUAAACAUCACUCUUCUCUGUUAACCAAUUCUUUUGGUAGUAUCUGCAAGAUAAGUAAUCGAAGAUGUUUGAAUUUUCUUUACUAAUAACACAAAGAAAGCAUACAAUGUGAUAUAUGAACUAGAACUUACUCGGGAUCAAGAUAUCCUAGAGUUCCGGCAACAUUUGUUGAUACAUGAGUUUGGCUUCCCACUAGAAAAGAUCUUGAAAGUCCGAAAUCGGAGAGCUUGGCUUCAAAAUGUCGACCUAAAAGUAUAUUGGUACUUUUCACAUCUCUAUGAAUCAUUGGCGGCUUACAUCCAAUAUGCAAAUAUUCAAUUCCUAGUACAUAGAAAAAUCUUCAUAUAUUAACUAUAUAUCACUAAAAUGUGAAUUUAGAAGGCAUAUGAAUAUUUGUCCAAAAAAAAAAAAAAGAAGGCAUAUGAAUAUAUCAAAAUUGAGGAAAAAGUAACAAAAUACCUAGCGCAGACUCAAUAGCUAUCUUAAGUCUACUCGACCAGUUCAAAACAGAGCCACCACGUUUUCCUACCAAAAAAUUCACAAUAUGGUUAGAAAUUAUUAGGAAUUUUCUAAAGCCUUUGGCUUGUAUCUCAAAAAAUCAUACUCUAACUAUGGUUUUACCUGAGAGAUGUUCCUUUAAGUUCCCAUUUUCCAUGAACUCAUAGAUGAGAGCCAAGUCAUUUCCUUCAUCACAAUAUCCGACGAGGCUUACUAAAUUCACGUGGUGAACUCUUAGAAGUAGCUCGACCUAAUUAACAAUCACCAUUAUGAAAAGGUUUUUUAUUUAGGAGCGCAUGCAUAAUUGUCUCCGAAAAUUAAAUGGAAGAUAGUAGUGUAAUUAAGUACCUCUGUUUUGAAUUCCUUGUAGCCUUGAGUUGAUGAAUGUGAGAUAACUUUGACGGCUACUUGUUCAUUGUUUAGAAAACCACGACAAACAACACCAAAGCCUCCUUUACCCAACACAACUUGAAAGUUAUCUGUCAUUUCUCUGACCUCUGAAUACGUAAAUCUUCUAUUUUUCAUUUCAAGUGAUGGGCGCAUAACUGCACAUUAAUAGUUUUAACACGUUCAAAAUAUUUCAUACUUUGGUAUGAUCUCAUAUUUUUCUUUAUUUAUACAAUUCUCUAGUGAGUACUUACCUUUCCCACUUGAUGUCUUUCUCCUUUUUAAAACGAAGAUGAUAACUAACACAAUUAUGAUAAUGGCCACAAGAGAUGAAACAGAUGCGGUAACCACCACCAAUGGAAAUUUUGAAUGGCAUGAUACACAUAGGUCUUUAUUUCCUUCAAGACUAAAGCAAAUAAUGUUGUUUGUGUUUAUAUCACAGAAAACAAGACAGAUGAAUAGUGAUCAAAAGAAGAUAACCAUGGAAACGAAUCUUACUUUAGUUGUAGUCCUCCCUUUUUUCUAUUAAGAAGGGCUUGAGGAAUAGGACCUCUAAGAUUGUUUCCAUUUAAGUUUCUGAAUAAGUAGAAAAGUUAUAAGAUAAUAGGAUCUGAUAUAAUAAAAUUAUUUGCUGUGCUUUUCCCAAAAAACUUACAUUUUCAACAAGGAGUUCAUCUUGGCUAGAAACUCAGGCACUUCUCCAGUUAAGUUGUUAUUGGACAAGUCCCUGUAAUUUUGUUAGACAAAAAUGCAGGAAAAAAAAUCUUAGAAAUUCUGCAAAGAAAGUUUUCACUUUAUCCAAAUAUGAAGAUACUUACAAUUCUUGAAGUUGGGUUAGAUCUUGUAUGCCAUGCGCUAUAACUCCAUUUAAUCCACUUCCAGACAAGUCUCUGUUAUAAUGAUGAGAGACGUAUCAAAUCAGAUGUAUUCAGGUUAUUUUGAUAAGUUAUAGCUAAUAAAUUUAAGUUUGCAGUGUACUUACAAUGCUAUGAUCCUUGGUGGUGUGGAAACAUCGGUAACACUGCAGCGUACACCAAUCCACGAGAAUUGUUUGGGAACACAUGGAUCACCUUGCCAACUGAGUUUAUUCAAUCCAUAUGCUGAAUCUAUUUUCUUAAUAGCACUGACUGAAACAUAAGAAUAAGUUAACCUAACCAUUGUGGGAUUCUCAUCAUAUAUAUGUCUUAUGAUAUGCAUAAAAUGAAAGUACAAAGCCACACAUACCAUCAGUUUGAUUUGUUUCUGAUUGUGGGAAAUCAAUGGCUGUGAAAAUCUCUAAAGCAUUCAUCAAAGGUGGAAGAGUGGACCUUGGCGUUUUUGACAACUGCACUCGACAUACCCCUCCCUCGCAUUUUAGCGGUACAGUGUUCGUUAGCAUCUCUACUUCGAACUUCUUGGGACGAAUAGGUGAGAAUAUGACUUUACCAUUCGCCACAAUUUCUAUUUCUCUUGUUUCAUUGGAUCGCACUUGUUGGAUAUCGGCGACAUAUAUGUAAGCAUAAGUUUCAUCAUCAGAGCUUUCCAAACUCCAGGAAAAGAUCAAUGGCUCUCUAUCAUUAGUGGGUAUGGCUGCUGUCCUAAUUACAUCUUGUGGCAAGUCAUAGCCACCAGACGAAUCAGUUACGUUGAGGGUUGUGUCUAUAUGCGUCCAGUCUGGCUGGAAGUACGGAGUCCAAAUACGAUCAUGAACAUCUUUGCGGUGCCUGCCAAAUCAAAAUUCAAGUAUUUACGUUAGAUCGAUAUAUAGAAUGAAAAAUGGAUUGAGAAACACUUGUAGUCUAGUGGUUUGUGCUAGGCUACUAAUAUUGUCCCGUGUCAUAGAUCCAAAUUUGAAAGUGUGAGUGUGUAAAUUAAGUUGUAGACGGCCAAAACAAUAAUAAUAAUAAAAUGGGUCAAGUUUAACAUACUUACAGUUUUGUGUUGUUAGAAUUGGUGAAGUAGUAGCGCACUAAAUUCUUCAAGGAACCGGUUUGUGAAGUAUAAGUGUUGUACGGCAAAGGUCUUAGUUCAAUGGUUGAUAUAAACGGCGCACUUGUUCCUGUCUUAACAAGACAUAUAUCCAAAACCUUAGAUCUUGUGACGUAGAUAAUCUCCUCAACAGCAGAACCAAAAUCUGUUGUUCGCAGAUCUAGGGUUUUCCAAAGAUUAGGACCAAGAUAGAGGUCGAAUCUUGGGAAAAUAUUAAGACCAUCAUAAUUUCCGUAAACAAACACUGCCCUGAUGAGGUAAUUUGUGUCUUGCGUGACACUCAAACUGUAGCAGUUCCGCGUUCCGUCAGGAAAGUAUCUCAAAACCCUAUACGGCUUUGUGAUAAAGUCUGUCUCAAGGUCUUUUUUGAUGGUACCAGUUUUGCCUCCGCGGAUAAAACCAGCAUCAGAGAUGUAAGUGAUAUUGGUCACUGGUUCCACAUAAGAAGACUCACUGGAAGCUAAUCCACAGUCAAUACUGAUGAAUCCUGGUAAAACCAGAGAGAUACGUAUCAGAAAGAUAUUGUUUUAUAAAAUCAAGUACUCUAUAUCAAAAAGAAUCUAUGUAUAGAAGAAAAGAGAGAAGUAAAAAUACCUUGUUGAUUCUGAGACUGAACAAAGUGUAUGAUGGAGAAAGUGGCAAAAGCGAGAAACAGAAACUUCUUGCAAGUCUCCAUUAACUACGUAUGAUCAGUUAUCAACCAAAUCAACAAAACUUAACACACUACCAAAGCCUUGAAACAUCAAUAUGAAGUCAUAUAUUUAUGAAUGUGUAUGUAUGUAUAUCUGUUUCAUAUUUAGUAACGUAAAGUCAACUUAAUGCAUACGUUAAUCAGCAAAAAAAAACAUGGCUAGCUAGCUAAGUAAACAGUGCUGGCAGUCUUUAAAACAAAGGAAAAAAAUAUGGAUUGCAAUAUCAAUAUGGAUGGUGAUAUGAUUUUGCUGUCGGGUUACAAUUUGAAAACAAUGUGAACCAAGUCAUUCUUCGUGACGAUAAACCGGCGGGUCAAUCGCAAUAAUAUAACUCAAGUUCCGUGAACGAAUCAAACUAAUGAUUUUUUUAAUGAAUUUGAAACAUAUAAUUGGCCUAGAGCCCAGAGGCUUCCUAUGCAUUAACUUACCCAUUGAUUAAUUUAAUUUAUUAAGGACCAUCGUUUCCGGCUUCUAUCCUAAUUACGUUGGCCCAACAAUUAUAAUGUAUUAAAUUUAGUGAGUUUCCCUACUAUUUUAAUUGUCGCAGUAAUACACGCUUCUCUCAAUUCGAUUGCGAAAGAGGGAAAAAACAAAGAAACAAAACAUAAAAACAGAAGGAAACCGAAAAACAAAAAAGACACGUAACAUAUUAACUCAAUUUCGAAGUGAAAUUGAGAAUUUUAGCUAAUUUUGAACAACAACUCCACAGUCCACACAUCGUUCGCAAGACCGUUCUCGUGCUCUAGCCCUGCAUGUAUGUACGUUUGAUUUCUGCUUAAUUUCUUAUUUUCAUCUUGGAAAUUACAAUAUAUGUUUUCUGUUAUGCUCUUUUUGACUUUGUGUUUGUGAUUUCGUUACGUACCAAGUAUAUAACUCGUUGAAAGUAUAUAAUGGAAUAUCCAAUCUUUAAAAAAAAAAAAAAAAAAAAAAAAAACCCCAGUGACGAUCGAUCGACCAACAUAUUUUAUAAUUUAGACGUGAAACCCGUGUAAAAUUUUAUACUUCCACUUGAUAAAAAAAGUCUUACACCAUAAUACAUUAUUUCGAGAUUUCCCCACCAGCUAGGUUAAAUCUAAUUAAUGAUUUAAUUAGUCAACCGUUUCCUAAUAUAUCCAAAUUAAAAAGGUUUGAUUUGUCAUGCUCCAGGUUAUAAGUAUUUUAGUAGUUUUGUGGAUCCUGCUUUUUCUUGGACAGAGUAGGAUAAUGAAAAACCUCCGUGGACUUUUAUUGGCCUUCCUAAUAAUUAUGUCUUUUGGCAUUCCCGAUUUCGCUCAAGCACAAGAUCAACAAGGUACAUCUUUCUUCUUCUUUAAACUUAAUUAGUUUCCAAACUUAAACACUUGCCAAUUAUUUCUUGUCUUACCAGGAUUCAUCAAUUUAGAUUGCGGAUUACAAGCCAAUGAGUCUCCUUACACGGAACCAAUGACAAAGUUAACAUUCCGAUCAGACGCCGAUUUCAUCAAAAGCGGAAAAAGUGGUAAGAUUCAAAAUGUUCCGGGGAUGGACUAUAUAAAGCCAUACACAAUUUUGAGAUAUUUUCCGGAUGGAGUAAGGAACUGCUAUACGCUUAGCGUCGUACAAGGCACGAACUAUCUGGUCGUAGCCAUGUUUACCUACGGAAACUACGAUAAUCUUAAUACACAACCAAAGUUUGACCUUUAUCUUGGUCCAAAUAUAUGGACCACGGUCGAUUUGCAAAGAAAUAUAAAUGGUACAAGGCAGGAGAUCAUUCACAUAGCAAGGUCAACUUCUUUGCAAGUUUGUCUCGUUAAGACUGGAACAACUACGCCACUAAUAUCAGCCUUAGAGCUACGACCAUUGAGAAAUGAUACUUAUAUCCCUCAGUCUGGUUCCCUGAAGAAGUUGUUCCGCGUUCAUUUGACCAAUUCCAAAGACACUUAUAGGUAAGUCAACCUAGCCUAACUUGAUGAUCAAGAUAAGUUACGAUCAGUUUGCUAAAAUAAGAUCUCUUCAGGUACCCAGAAGAUGUCCAUGAUCGUCUUUGGACUCCAUUCUUCAUGCCGGAAUGGAAACUGAUACGAACAAGUCUCUCAAUCAACACUUCUGAUAAUGACUAUGAGAUACCGCAAGAUGUAGUUGCUACGGCAGCCACGCCUUCAAAUGUGAGUUUACCAUUGACCAUUUCUUGGAAUUUGGAAACACCUGACGACUUAGUUUAUGCAUACCUUCACGUUGCCGAGAUCCAGCCCUUAAGGGACAAUGAUACCAGGGAGUUCAAUAUUAGCGUAGGUCAAGAUGUUAGUUACGGGCCUGUUAGCCCUGAGGAGUUGCUAGUAGAUACGCUAUUCAACACAUCACCUGUGAAAUGCAAAGGAGGGACAUGCCAUUUGCAACUGAUAAGAACUCCAAAUUCAACUCUCCCUCCCCUCCUUAAUGCUAUUGAGGCGUUUACAACACUUGAGUUUCCGCAGUCCGAAACUUAUGAAAAUGACGGUAUGCGAUCAGCUAAAUACGAGUAGAUAGUUUGCUAUACACAUAUAUCUAUACUUAUUUAAGUUUUUUUCCGUUGUUAUGUUAGUCGUUGCUAUCAAGAGUAUAGUAAAAAGUUAUGGACUGAGUAGAAUUGGCUGGCAAGGAGAUCCAUGUGUUCCUCAACAAUUCUUGUGGGAUGGUCUUACCUGCGAGUACACCAAUAUAUCUACACCACCAAGAAUCCAUUCCUUGUACGUGACAUGGUCAAUGGGUUUUUAAAAAAAAAAAAAUCAUGGUUAAUGUUAAGAUCUGUGUUUCUUAAUAUCUUAGACUUUAAAUGGGUGUGUUAUCACCAGAGACUUGACCUCAAGUGAACUAACUGGAAUUAUAGUUCCUGGGAUCCAAAAUCUUACGGAGCUUCAAAGAUUGUAAGUAUGUCAGUUGAGUUCUACAAAAAUACUCUGUUUAUCAAGGCAAAACAUACAAUCAAUUGUAUCACUUUUGCAAAUGGUAGGGACUUGUCAAAUAAUAAUUUAACAGGUGGAGUACCUGACUUUCUAGCCAAAAUGAAAUCAUUGUUAGUCAUGUAAGUAACUCUGUCGGCUAUAUGAACACAUUACCAAUUUAGUAUUUAGUAUCACAGUAUGUUGAUGUUUAUUUAACUUUCUGUCUUUUUAACCUAGACAGAAACCUAAGUGGAAACAAUCUUAGUGGUUCCGUCCCUCAAGCUCUGCUCGAUAAAGUGAAAACUGGGUUGAAACUGAAGUAAGAUCUUGUCAACCAUCUUUUGUCAUUAAAUAGUUGAUGUCUUUAUUUGUAUUAUGUCUUCACUAAUACUUAAUUAGUUUGUUCAUAACACUAGCAUUCAAGGAAAUCCAAACCUUUGUUCUUCCGGUUCAUGCAACAAAAAGAAAAGUAACAUCAUGUUACCAGUUGUUGCAUCAAUUGCUUCUUUGGCUGCUAUUAUAGCAAUGACCACUCUUCUUUUUGUUUGUAUUAAAAGACGCCCAUCACGCGGUCAAGGUAUCGGUAACAAAGUCAUCAAACCAGAAUCAAUAGUGUUUGCAUACAUAGUUAAAUGCCUCAGAGAAUUGAUAGUGACUUAUUACUAUUUGUGUACAGUUCUAGGUCCAUCAUCAAGCCAACAAUCAAUAGUAACAAAAAAGAGAAGAUAUACAAACGCUGAAGUUGUUGCAAUGACAAAUAACUUUGAAAGAGUUUUGGGUAAAGGAGGAUUUGGGAUGGUCUACCAUGGUUAUAUAAAUGGUACCGAAGAAGUAGCGGUGAAGCUACUCUCUCCAUCAUCAGCUCAAGGCUAUAAAGAGUUCAAAACAGAGGUUUUUGUGCCACCACAACUAGUUUUAAUCCAUUUUGUAAGAGCUCAAGUUUAUGUAAAUAUAUCUUGUACAUAUUUGGAUAGGUAGAACUUCUUCUAAGGGUUUACCACACAAAUCUGGUAUGUCUUGUUGGAUACUGCGAUGAAAAAGAUCACUUGGCCCUCAUCUACCAGUACAUGGCCAAUGGCGAUUUGAAAAAACAUUUGUCAGGUAACACAUGUAUAUUCAUAUAUCAUCAUGAUGGAAAUGGCAUUGUGUUGACAACAUCCUAAGAUUAUUUGACAUUCAUGACCAUGUUGAUACAUGCAGGUAGCUCCAUCAUUAGCUGGGUUGAUAGACUAAACGUAGCAGUUGAUGCCGCACUAGGUUCGUUUGUUAUUUUCCAGAGAAUGGAUAUCUCCAUUUAUAACACUCAUUUAAACCAAAUUUCUAAUGAUCAGUAAUCAAAAAUGGCUUUUGGAGACAGGACUGGAAUACCUGCAUAUUGGCUGCAAACCGCUGAUAGUUCAUAGAGAUGUAAAAAGUUCUAACAUACUAUUGGACGAUCAGUUACAUGCCAAGCUUGCAGAUUUUGGGCUUUCAAGAUCUUUUCCAGUUGGAGAUGAAACUCAUGUGUCUACACGUGUUGCGGGAACAUUUGGAUACCUUGAUCAUGAGUAAGUCGUUUGCAGGCUUUUUCUGGAAGUCAUUCACAAAAACAUUCAUAAUCAUCUCGUCUUGCAGAUAUUACCAAACAAAUAGGUUGUCUGAGAAGACUGAUGUCUACAGUUUUGGAGUUGUAUUAUUAGAAAUCAUCACAAACAAACCAGUGAUCGAUCAAACCCGCGAAAUGCCUCACAUAGCAGAAUGGGCGAAAUUUAUGCUUACUAGAGGAGACAUUAGCAAUAUUGUGGAUCCUAAACUUCAAGGGGUGUAUGACUCUGGUUCUGCAUGGAAAGCUCUUGAAUUAGCAAUGACAUGCGUGAAUGCUUCUUCCCUAGAAAGACCCAACAUGUCUCAUGUAGUUCAUGAACUAAAAGAGUGUGUCAUAUCUGAAAACAAGAGGACAAGAGACAGAGACACAGUGAGAUCCAUCGACACUAACAUAAGCUGCAGUACUGAUAUGCAGCCCAAGGCACGUUAAUCUCCAUUCUUCACUUUGUUGCAUUCGUUUUCUGCUAAUUGUGCCACUGCAUUUUUUCUUUUCAAGAACUAUGUUAAUGCAGAUAUUGUACAGACCGAUGUCUUAAGCAUAUUUACAACAGGCAGAUAUGAGAGCUAACUUAUCCUUAUGUUAAUGCUCCCGUUUCAAAGAUCAAAAUUACAUGUUUGUCGUCCUGUAAUGAGAGAUGAACUGUAUCGAACUGAAUUCUUACAUUAACAGAGACAAGACUGUACAUCCAGAUUCCAUAGGCAGGACAUGAUAUAGGAACUUCAUGUCCUGCACAUGUUUGAUCAAAAACACAGACCCAAGACGUGUUUAUACUUCUUCAGACGUACAGUGGCGAGGCCGAUGGACGAGGAUAAGCAACAACUGUACUGCCCACAGCAGUCUGCCGAGCAAAACCCGCAUUCACUUUUUUGCUGACAACACUGUCACUUCUCCUACGCGUUCUUCUCUCUGUUCUAUCCAUAUUCCCCCCUAUGGCAGCAUUCAGAGACUGAAUGUGUUCAAGGUGAGAAACUACCUCGCUCAUGUUUGGUCUCAGCUUAACCUCUGUGGUGAGACAUCUCAGAGACAGAGUAGCCACUUUACAUGCUUCUUCCAUAGAGUACUGGUCCUGAAGUCGAUUAUCGAUGACUCGGAAUAUCUUUCUUUUGUUUACGAGGUAUGGUUUAGCCCACUCCACAAGGUUCCUCUCUCCAGAUGGACGAUUCUUGUCCACGGCUCGACGACCAGACAACAGCUCCAAAAGCACAACCCCGAAGCUAUAGACAUCACUCUUUGUUGUUAAAUGACCUAAAGAAUAUGCAAAGUGAUCAUUCAUAAGAAGAGGCCAAUACCAGAAAGCAAAGAUUUGACCAAAAGAAUUUGACAAUGACCUGUUGCAAGGUAUUCAGGAGCUGCAUAUCCGUGUGUACCCAUAAUCCGUGUAGAGACAUGACUUUUAUCACCUAUUGGCCCAUCCUUGGCCAAUCCAAAAUCAGAGAGCUUAGCGUUGUACUCCUGCGAUCAUGUACCCGAAAGUUUUCAUCAUAAAGCUUAAAACUUUCGCAGUUCUGUCAUGGCAAUCAUAUAAAAAAUGUGUAAAGUGUAAAAUACCGAGUCAAUAAGUAUGUUAGAAGUCUUGAAAUCACGGUAUAUCACUCUUGUUUCGGAACUGUGAAGAAAAGCAAGACCCUUUGCAGCACCAAGAGCAACUUUCAACCGGAGUUUCCAAGAUAAUGGUUGGAAGUACAAACCCCCUGCAACCCAAGAAAAACAAACCUUGACCAUUCAUAAACAUCAUAAAAAGCUUAAAGUUUGACCCCAGCCUGGGAUUAGACUUAAGAGGAAGGAUGACAUACUCCUGAAAAGAUGAUUCUCCAAGCUACCCCGAGGCAUGAACUCGUAAACAAGAAGACGGUGUUCAUCCUCUAGGCAAUAACCAAUCAGCUUCACAAGAUGACCGUGAGAAAACUGGCCAAGGUAAUUCACUUCAGCCUGCAAAAUCAUCGAAAAAAUAUCACAAUCAUCAACCAUUAUAACACACACAAGAACCAAAAUCGGCAUAUGUUAGCUUUUUUUUUACCAGCCAUUCCUGAUGACCUUGCCAACCAUCUUGGUUAAGCUUUUUGACUGCAAUAACCAAACCAGUGCCUGGCUUUGUGGCAGUAAGAGACUUCUCAUCAAUCCAUCCUUUGAAAACACAACCGAAUCCACCUUCACCAAGCACACUGUCUGGUCUGAAAUUCCUGGUUGCGGAUUUAAGCUCAGCAAAGCUGAAACUCUUGAGGUUUGGAGACUGUAAGAUCUCACCCUCAGUUCGAGGGGUUGGUCUUACAGACACAGACGAAGCCUUACUCCCAAGACUUCCAGUAUCUUUGGCGUCAUACUUCGGACUCGUCCCUAAACCCACCAAACCAAAAAAGACAUUAAUUAGCUUCAUACUUUCGUUAAAUUAAACGAACUUGCCACAACACAAAAAGCCCUAACCUCGACUGAAAUUAAAAAAAAAAAUCAAAACUUUAAGGUGGUGGUGAACAAAUCUAAGAACUUUGCCUUAACAGAGAGGAACAGAAAACAGAAGAUGUGUUACUCAAACUCAAGAUUCAUAAGAAAAGACUCGUAGCUUAUGAGAGAACAGAGCAAAGCAAAAAACACUGAAGUAAAUGUGUGUUAUACCUGGGCUCUCAGCUUUGACCUGAGCACUCAAGCAAAUCCCCAUGAGUGAGUAAUUUUCAGAGAGAGAGAAGCAAAUUGGACACGCUUCUGCAAUGUCUCGCUAUAAAUAAUCACACUUGAAGAUAAGAAAAAGGUGGAAACUUUAAAUCAAAGGGAAGCUGGAAAGUUGAGGCAGAAAUAGAUCAAAUCGUGAAAAGAAAAGAUUUUGCCAACUUUAUAAUCCAGACCCUCCCAAUAUGUAUGCACCCUACUUUAAAAGCAUAUGACCAAGUUCAUCAAAUCUCUUUUGCCAAUUUAAGUAACCUAACAACUAAACAAAUGAAGAAGAAGAAAGACAGAUUCUUUACUCACCUUUUCUCUCUUUUUCUUUUUGUUUUUGAGUUAUCUCAGCCAAGAGAUGGAGAAAGUGAGAAACAGAGAGAGACAGAGUAAGAAAGGCGUUGCAGUUGGGGUGGUGGCAUUAAUGGCGGAUCGGUCCCGCCUUUCUUCUUUUUGCUUGUGUAUAGCGUUUUAUCAGUUUUCGAGCUUUCUGUAUCUCUUUAUCUCUCGAAAAUCAAAAUCUCUCCUCUUUUUUUUAUUUUCGAUUCGUUUUGGCACUAGUUGGUGUUGUCAUUGCUCUCAAUCGUUUUCAAUUUUUUUUAAACCUUUUUGGUACUACGAAGAAAUAAAGUUUAUAUCAUCAAGUCAGAAAAGAUUAGCCCUUCACACACCAGCGUGUUCUAUCGCUCUCAGCCGUUGGAUCUGACGUUAACGACUUAACCUUGUUGUAUUUGUACUUCUCGAUGUACAAACUCCACCUAGUGGGCGGGGCUCAGCUCGGCUCAUUUAACGUAUAUCCAGCCAAUUAGGCAAUUAGCCAUAUUGGUUACAUAAUAAAUUCUGUAGAGUCAUUAUUAUAUGUAUAUCAUAUGCUUAUAUGAUUAUGAUUUUUUAUGAUAAAUCUUUUAUAAUUUAGACUACAACGUAAUAGAGUCAAUGUUUUUCGAUCAUGUCCUCUCAUCGAUAUGUUGUUAUCUGAAUUUGAUUCCGCAUUAUGUAUUUUACGAAAAGUGGUCAUUUAAUAAUAUUUAUUUUCUAGAUAAUUUGGAAUAAGAUAAUGCUCGUGAGGCUCACCAGUUUACCAGCAUCUCUCCAGCUAACCCUACGUACGUUCUUAACAUUUUUUUUUUGUCAGAAAAUUGUGUUUUUUUCUUUUUUUCUUUUUUGGGUGUAUCAUGUAUUAUUAUUAGUAUUGAUUGGUUCCACUUGCUUAGUAGUAGCUAAGAGUGUAAACCUUAACGUGUAAACCUUAACGUGGUGUGAAAGGUUUUUUGGAAUUUCAAUAAUAUACAAGCUAAAUCCAAGAAUGAUCCUGGGUCGGGUCCGUUCUGUAAUUUAGAUUAGUCCACAAUGACAAUUGUUUAAGGUCUCCUUUGUUAAGAAUUGAAAUAUUAAAUCCAGAGAGAAGACCGACAAAGAUUGUCAUUGACUCAUUGGCUUAUUUAUUUUCUUAACCAGAUCUUGAUUAAUACAAUUUGAUUUUGUUUUAAAUGAUUAAUUAAUGCGACUUCAUUGAUCUGGUGCAUGGGUUUGUAUAGUGCUCAGGAGUGAAAAAAAAAAAAAAAAACACUUUGUAUUCAAUGGAAAUUUAUAAGGUCCACACUAAAGCCCCACUGCUGAGUUCUUUUUUUGUUGCCCUUUACCCUUUUUGUUUUGACCAGCUUUUCUUUUGUUUAAGAGUUAAUUUGGUAAAGACCAAAAAAUUUGUGGUCUGGUGAUUUAAUUCUUCUUUUUGUAUCUACUAUCUACUACAUUUGGGGAAAACGGGAAAAUCAACCAAUCAAACUUAAGCUUCUGUAAAAACUAAGAGAAAUUAAGCUUGAGCUUAAGCUUAAUUGUCCAAAUAUUCAAGAUGGACAGGGAUACUGUUAACAUCGAGGUUGAAAUUGACAAAAUUUGAUAUAGUUCAGAUUGGUUAUUUGAAUUGAAAACUAGUUUGGAUUGUAAAAUUCAGAGUACGCGAGUUUGAGUAUGAAAAUAUCUUCGGGAAAUAGUUUGGGUUGAUUUUCCCUGUUCUCCCACUACAUUUGUAUAUCUCUAGUGUUCUUUUAAAACAACAGAAAACAUGAAAACCACCUUAGCCCUUUUAUCUUCUUUAAUUUAGAUGUUACAUAUUUGAUGAUCAAUCUUUUGUUCGGUUAUGUCAUAGUGUUCACAAAUCUCUGAUUGUGGUUGAUAUAAUUAAGAAGGUAAACGUAAUCCAUUAGUGAUUAGCCACUUGAGUUAAGAAAAACGUUUCCAAAGAGAUAAUUAAUUAAUAAGGCAGCAUUAAAACAAAAAGGGGAUGUAGCUCAGAUGGUAGAGCGCUCGCUUAGCAUGCGAGAGGUACGGGGAUCGAUACCCCGCAUCUCCAUUUUUGACUUUUCUGUUUUUUUUUUGUUUAAAAGGUAUGUUAAGUAUAAAAUCCCAAUAAUGUGGUACAGACACCCCAAAGAAAAGCAUGAUUAAAAUCAGUAUGCUUUGAAUAAAACUUUAUUAAAUUCAAAGAUUCAUAAUUACGAUGCUAUAUAACUUAAAAUUACAUUUGAUUGGUAUUUUUUUAUAAAAAUAAAGAAUUUGACAGCCAAGAAAAAAGAAAGGAUUCACAUCGGAUAAAAAGAUAUACAGCUUUUUUUUUAGUGGCAUACAAAAUAUUUUAUAAAAUAUGAAUUGUGAGGAUAUUUUAAAAUAUUGUCUAAUUAAUUAAAAAAAAAUAUUUACAAAUUGCCAAUAAUAACGAAGAAACAAACAAGUAGCUCUAUAUAAUGGGAUGGGAGAACAUGUCAUACUGAUUCCUUUUCCAAAAAGUUUCAAUAUAUAUAUAUAUAAAUAUAUAUAUAUAUCAACAAGUCGACUUAUAUAUAUUUGUUCUUAUGAUGGUUUGAUCGUCCAUGCAAAACAAAAAAAAAGCAAGAGGAGAGAAAAGAGUUUUGGUGGUAAUAUAUAUAUAUAUAGCCUUUUGUCUCUGUGGAUGUGACAGUGUGAACGAAUAUUCUGAUGGUUUGACCUUUGCUGUGUUUGACCCAUCUCGGGGGGACCCGGAGAGACAAAAGGUCCAAUGUCCACGCAAAAGCAUGUCUGCCACGUGGUCUCACGUCGGUGAACUUGCUGCUUAUUUCCACCGGCUCCCAAUCAAACCAAACUUACGCGGCUAGCUCUCUCUUUCAGCCCGUGACCAAGUUUGCUAGUAGCUUACUACUGGUAUGACUUAUGAAAGCUAACAACGUCAUCCUAUACUAGUCUUUACAAUCUUCUCUUGUUUUAUUAUCAGGCCAGGCCCAACUUGUUCCAAGGAUAUAUUAAUGAAGACUUAUGUCCACUCAUAUUGGCCCAAUACUUUAGUCUUACUUCAUUGCCAGUUAUCGCCAAAAAUUCUUAGCUUUACUCCUCUAAAGAACGACUCCCCCAACGUCUUCCACAAGUAUUUGCCCUUAAAAAAACGAAUACGGCCUUGUUCCACUAGUAACCUUUACUUCUCUCGCGUUUCAGGUUCGACAAUACAAAUAGUCUAGUGUACUUGGGGUUAGGGUACGAAGCAUGUCAACAUUGGUGUAGAUAACAUUGACAAGAGAAGGUCUGAUUUCAGUCAGGGUUUAUACUGUUCAACUAGUUUCAACAAACUGUAUGACUCAGCAUCAGGCCUAGCUCCACCAAGAACCAUCCUCUUGAACAGAUUAGGGUCAUACACCUUGGCCUUAACAUAAGCUUUGAACAGAGCAUUGUACACAAACGCAUGCCUAUUAUACUUUGCAUUCUUCACCUCUUCAAACAGUUUCUCUGUGUUCUCUACAUCACCUUUCUCUGCAAAACAUUCGAUGAUUGAUAGAGUCGUCUCCAGCCAUGGUGUUGAGCUUCUUACGCUUUUGCUUGUCUUUAGAGUCGAACCCAUUUCAAUGUUUUUGAGAGCUUCCUUCAUCAGUUUGGCUUUAGCACAUCCUAGAGCAAGAUGUCUAUAAGUUAUGGAAUUAGGCUUAACCCCGUCUCCCACCAUCUCUCGGAACACACUGAUUGCCUUCUCUAUCAAACCGUCCUUGCAGUAUACAGAGAGCAUAGAGUUGAAUUGCCCAGUUUCUUUAAGUCCUCUUACGUCCUUCAUCUCUAACCAGAGCUCUUCAGCUCUGUCAAGGUUCCCUACUCGCGCAAACGCUUCGGUUGCCAGCAAGUAACUCUUGGAUCUAACAUGAUGAAAUCCUCUGAUGACAUUCCACGUUCUCGCCAGCUCUUUUUCUUUCCCUAAACGCCCAUAGAGAAUCAUCAAUAUAUCCAAGGUCGACCAGUUAUCCCCUGUGACAGAUUUUUCUAUUUCCUCAGUAUAGGCUUCAGCAACUGUAUACAAUCUCGCAACAGCAUGUGCCAUAGCCAAUAUACAAUAAGAAACCUCGUUCGGCUCAACUCCAGCUUUCUUCAUACCAUCAAAAGCCUUUAGCACCCCGUCAAUGUUAUGUUCAUUAGCCUCCAGCUUCAUCAAGAUAUGAUAUGUUGAGACAUGAGGAAUCGCCUUGUCAGCUUUCAUGAGCGCAAGGUCUUUCGCGAUAAGCUUUCUUCGUCCGGGAGCUGAGUUGCGAAUGAUAAGACGGUUGUAGACCAAAUGGGAUGUACGAUGACCGAGUUCUCUCAUCUUCUUCAUAUAACCUAGUGCAAGCCUUAUGACACCUUGGUCUAAACAAGCAAUCACAAGGUUGUUGUAAAGAAGCUCGUUCUGAAACUCUUGAGGGACACGGAUGAAAAGCUUUUCCCCUUGCGAGACGCCAUGAAGUUUGACUGUGAAUUCCAGCAAGUAGGAGUAUUCUAGCUCACCAGGACGGUAAGGUCGUUCCCUGAUCACCCACUCCAUCAACUGAAUCAAACAUACCAAAAUGUCUCAGCUCAAAUUCAAUAUUAUCUUCAUAUAAACAAAAAUAAAAUAAAAAACUCAUUUCGAUUUGAAGUAGUCAUUUCAGUUCAAUUUGACAAAAUCACAUUGGUACAACGAUCCGAGUUGCUAUGGAGAGAGAAAAGAUAAGCAAGUACGAAUUUAGAACCUCAAGGGCACGUUUGUUUCGUCCGAGUUUCCUCAAUCGGUUAAUUGCGUGAUAAACAUCUCCACCAUGAACUGGAAACCCAUCUCCCAUCCAGCUCUGUAACGCAGACCCAACAGUAACUCCCUUCGGGAGCUUCUCGAUUCUCAGAGACAAACACUUGUCGCGCUCUUCUUCUCCGUCCGACCCGAUACAUCUCUCUUCAGGAGAUUUCGGAGACGAUAUUAAUGUCGUGAGAAAGCUCGAAGCUUGGAAAUUGGGAUGAUCCAGCGCAGGCGAAGAUGUCACGCAAGGUGUUCGACGUAUUGCCUGAACGAAAUAUGCUCCUUGUCUCAUCACCGCAAUAAUGGAUCUCAUUUCUUUUUUUGGGGGACCUUUGGCCCGUAAACUUUUUAGAGCCCGUUAAGUAACAUAUUGACUUCUAUACAUACAUCUUUUUCGGGUCAAACAUAUGUUUUACUGUUGUGUCUUAAGAUGUCACUACUCACUAAUUAGCUUUACUUAGUUAGGCUAGUAUUUUGUUAAUUAGGUUUCUAAUUGCUUAAUUUUGUAUGAUUCGGAUUAGUAUUUUGUACUAAUAAUUGUGAUGAUUAACUUAGAUGAUUAAACUUAUAUCCUAAAUAUAUAUAUAAACAGAGGAGAGGUAUAGAUGAUAUCUUAAAAAUCACAAAAGUCAAUACACAUAUUCAUUUUUGUUUUUUUCUUUUUGUUUUAGGUUACAUAUGACAUAAUUAGACAAUCAAACCAUCACCACAUAGAAAAUACAAAGCAGGAAACGUCAAAAGCUUAAGAGAGUGAUUACGCAACACACAAUAAUGUCACGUCCUUUAUUCUAACACACACACACGUCUCUUAGCAUAUCAAACACAUAUUUUUUCACCAGUGUUCCUGGCAUAUAUGGUUUUUAGACCACAAUAAGUUCUUCAACAGCUACAGUUUGACCCGCAGCUGCAGUUUGAUCCACAGCUACAGUUGUCGCACUCCUGGUUGUAGUUCUUCUCGCAACUUUACCACACAAAAUAAAAUCAUAAUCAGAAUUUAUUAAUUAGUUUAUAUGAUGAGAUUUAUAUAAGACUAAUUAAUUAACCACAUCUAAAUAUGCAAGACCGACCUGAAAUAUUUCCUGAGUCUAAUGCAAAUUUAAAAUUUAAAAAAAACUAAAAAAUAUUGGAUCUAUUAAAAGUAAAAGAAGAAACGUAAGAAUUUUGAAGUUGUACCAUGGAGCAAUUAAAUCUCAAGUACCGCACAAAACCUAAUUUUCCUAAUAUAGUUUUGAUGCAUGUAAGUAAAGACAGAUACAAGAAGAGAAGAUCUAGCUAGGGCUAACCUGCAAGAGUCACCGCAUUUGCAGGAGGAGCCACAUCCACAGUUAGAACCUGCCAUUUCUUCUUUGUUAAUUGUAGAUUGUUGUAGUUUCUUUUCUUCUUUUUGUUCGGAUGCUUUUGUGAAUUCAACAAAAGGGAAUGACCACUAUUUAUAGAAGAAGAGAAAGAUGCGUUUUAUAUCCACCAUACACGUGGCUUUUCUUAUUUCCUCAAGUUUUAAUUUCGUGUAUGACAUUGACAAGGUAAGAAAAAGAAAAGAAAAGAAAAAGAUUGUAUAUACACGGGCAGGAUAAUUGGAUUGCUUUCUGGUGAGAACAAUAUUAAUAAUCUUAAACAAAUCUAAUUAGAAAUAACAUCAACUUGCCUAUUUAUGUUCUUUAAUCUUAGAUUUGUUCUAACAGUUUCAUUCAGGAAAGUAAUUUGAUGUUUUAAUAUGAGUUUCAACAAAUAAAAUAAAAUAAGUCGUACACGCAACCAAGAGUAACUAUCUCAAUUGUAAACGGCAGCCGACCCAAAAAAAAAAAAAAAAAAGAAAGAGGCAUGAAGCUUGCCUCUUUCAUUUACUUACCAGUAUGUAUGUAUGUUUGUUUUGACAACAUGUUAAUAAUAUUUUCAUACGCGUAUUAUAUCUAUGUACAUUACAAUAUACAUAUUCAUAGUUUACAUAUGUAUCCACUAUAUAUGCUGUAUUAUAUGGAUAAAAGGAACAUUAUCCUAAAUCUUGUAAAUGUUAUCUUAUGCGUCAGGAAAAAAACUUAAAUUAAAUGAGAAUUGUUGUCCUCUGUCUUGAAAUCUUCCUGUAUUUGGACGAGAUCCAAGACACGGUCUACGUUCUAUUAUUUAUUUAUAAUAUCAUGAAAAGCUUUAGUAUGAGAAUUAUAUGAUCCAUUUUUGAGAUCCGUUUUAAGAUAAAAUUGGCUUUGAGCUUGAUACUUAAAAAAAUUAGGGUAGAUGGAGGAUAUAUAUGUUUUCCAUUUUCUCCCCCAAAAUAAAACUAUUAGUAUGAUUUUGUGGUGUUAAAUCUGUCGGUGAGAGACUGAUUUCUGAACAAAGCCUAUUUUGUCUCUGCUGCCGAAAGUUUUGAGUAGGUUCCCUAACUUUUUACUAAUGUUGAGGGAGCGUCAAAGAUAUGAGAACCAUGCAAAACUUGUUUGGGGUUGAGUCGUCUCUGUCUAUCCUAUAUUCUUAGGAAUUCACAAACGUCGCUACUUUACGUAAAAGACAAGACAAUCGAAGGAAUAAUAAUCGUAGAUAGGGUCAUUAUAGAAUAGAAUAGUAACAUGCAGUAAAGUUGGGGUUAUGAGAUGUUUUCGUUGGCUGCUUCUUGGCCCUUCGAGGUCCUCAAUAUGUAUUGGUCGUGAAAUUACGUUCCAUCACAACUCACAAAUCCUAUCGAAUAUUUUUCUUUCUUUUUUGACUUCCUAGUUCCUACGUGCCGGCCUCGUUUACUUGAUAAUUUUGCCUGUAAUUUUACAAAACUAAUUGUGACAAUUAUAAUAAUAGGAUUCUAAUAAUAGGAUCAAAUAUUGCAGCUUUAUCUUAGUAAGUAAUAUGUUGUCUUAAAUGUAAAGAUUAUCACGUAAUCUUGUUAAAUUACAUGUUUAUACUAAAAAAAGAUAGAGAGAAACUUUUGGACAUAUUAUUUAGCAAAGAGGGAUUAUACAGUCCAACAAGAAAGCUCUAUCCAAAUAUCUCAAAUUAAUGUAUACUAAAUUUUUUUCAUACCUAUCAUAUAUUAAAUUAAAACUUAAAGCAAUAAAAUAUAUGUAGGAAAGUUGACAAAAUAAAAUAUACUUUUACAAAAAACAAAAGUUGACAAAAUAGAAAUUAUAUUUUAUAUAGGAAAAUUUAUAUAGAUGUAUAUAUGUGUGGUGGAAAUAAAUCAAAUAAUGAAACAGAAUCUUCCUCUUUUUCUAUAAUUAGUGGCCAUUCCUUUUGCUUAAAUCGCAUAAAGCAUCAGAAGAAGAAGAAAAAUAAGCUACGAAAAUUAAUCAACAAGAUCAAGUAAGAGAAAUGGCAGGUUCUAACUGUGGAUGUGGCUCCUCCUGCAAAUGCGGUGACUCUUGCAGGUUAGCCCUAGAUCUUCUCUUAUUUACCUCUGUAUGAUAUGUAUGUAGUUGCUUAGUAUAUCUUAUCAUAUUAAUAUGAAAUUUUGAAUUCGUGCUUCUCUUUUUUUGUUUCUCUAUUAAUGUUUGGUGAAGUUGCGAGAAGAACUACAACCAGGAGUGCGACAACUGCAGCUGCGGAUCAAACUGCAGUUGCGGGUCAAACUGUAGCUGUUGAAGGAUUCCUUGUGUGGUCUUAAAUCAUAUAUAUAUGCCAAGGAAAGUGGGAAAAUAUGUCUGUUGAUGAUAAGAUAUCUGUGUGUGUUGUUGGAAUAAAGACUUGGCAUCUAUAUUAUUAUUGUGUUGCGUAAUAACUAUUAUCAAGCUUGACUUGUUCCUGCUGUGUAAUGUUUUUAUCGUGUAACGUAAGACACAAAUAUAUAUGUAUUUGACUUUUGUGAUUUGAUAUGUCUCCUCUCUCCAUAUCAUAGGAUAUCAGAAAAUAUAUAAGGUUAAUUAACUAAACAAAUAUAAACAUUUUUAGGAUAGUUAAUUACAGUUUUGAACUUUUGAUUAUCAAAUGUUUCUAGCAUUUUGCAUAAUCAUAUCCUGUUUUACUAAACAACGUGAAAUAUUCAAUUAUAAAUUUUGUGAAAAAAAUUCAUUGUAUACAACAGUUGAGCGAGUUCACCAGAACAAAUUUGUUGCUCUACUGAAACAAGCUGAACUCAAAAGAGAUACAAAACUAAAACUAGUCAACACAGAUAUUCUCCAAUUUCAAUCUCUCUGAUCCUUCACCGUCACCGUCUACAAGCAUUUUCAGACCAUCUUUAAGCUCAGCCACGCCUUCUUCAAGAACUGCGCAAACCGGAAAUAUUCUCACUCCUUUCACUCUCCUCUCAAGUUCUUUCAAUCUCUCGUCUGCACCAUCCUCAUCGAUCUUAUUUGCCACAAUCAAAGACGACCUAUCGGAUAACCCUUCUUCAUGGUACUCAAGCUCCAUCACCAAAUCUCUCAGUUGUUGCCACGGUGUCACUCCUCUGCAACCAUCUAGCCCCGAUGCUAAAUCCACAACGUAAGCCAAGACUUUGGUCCGUUCUAUAUGGCGGAGAAAGUUGUGGCCUAGACCCCGGUUCUGAUGAGCUCCUUUUAUAAGUCCCGGAAUAUCUGCUACCGUCAUGGAGAAAUCAUCGUAGUUUACGUUUCCUAAAUUCGGACGGAGUGUCGUGAACGCGUAGUGGCCCACUCGGGGUCUAGCACGGGAUAGCGCACCAAGAAGAGUGCUUUUCCCUGCGUUUGGCAACCCGACAAGGCCAACGUCGGCAAUGCUCUUGAGUUCUAAUAUCAGAACAGACUCAGAACCGAGCGAGCCGGCUUUAAUACUUGACCGUUCAUCUUCAUCUUCAGCAUCGUCCUCCAUGCUCCUCAAAUUGGUUUGACGGAUAGCGGAUUUAGCAAACUUGCUGCCUUUUACAUAACGUGUAGCACAAACGUUACCCAAACCGCCUUCACCACCACGAGCAAUGCUUAUUCUCUGACCUUGUUCUGUUAAUUCCGCAACGUUAUACCUGAUUUGAUCAAUCUCUCCUUCGCUGUCUUCAAAAUCAUCUUCCUCUGGGAUGCCUAAAUGUCUCGUCAAACUCUCUUUCUCAGUAUCAUCAACUUGAACAGACUCAGGCAUAGUUUCUUGAUGAGCACCAAGGUUCUCCUCAAAGGCAGGAUUCUCAACCAGUGAGCCAGGAAGAUCCCAUGGAUCCAAAUCUUUGGGAGACUCAUUUUCCACCUGACACGGAAGCUCACCCUCCUGAAGAUGAAUAACUGUCCCAAUAGGCACUUGUAGGACCUGCAAUAACACAAAUAAGUGCAGAACCAUGUAUAAGUUGAAGACAAAUAAAAGAAAGAAGCAGAGGAACAGUAAUGAAUCAUAAUAAAACCUUGUCUUCUCCUCUGUUUCCUAUCCUGUUCUUGGAAGUUCCAUGUCCAGCUUUCCCACCUUUCUGCAAAACUCAUAAAACCAUUUAAGUUAAAUGAUCUUUCCGGGAAAACGAAAAGAGUGACAUAAACUUACAACAUGAGGUUGUAAUCCGCUGAAAUCCCAAACUGCGUGUGUGCAUUCUAAUAUCACAUCACCUCCUCUGCCACCAUUGCCACCUAAACUAAGUUCCAAUUACAUUACAUCAACAUAAACAUUCUUCGAAUCAAUCAAUCACUCAAAGAGUGUUCCAAUUCUAAAGUAUACCAAACCUAAAACAUAGCUAUGGAUUGGGAAUAAUUCAUCAAUUUGGAGAUAGUACCAUCAGGUCUUCCAUAGCGAUCGGCACGGCUCCGUCGGAGGCUGGAACAACCACUGCCACCUUCACCGCCGCGUGCGUACAGUGUAAACCUAUCUCUCAUCCUAGUCUCCUGCACAGCAACACACAUAUCAGAUUCAGCUGUAAUAAAUUAGGGUUUUUAUUUGUGGGGGAAGUGAAUAGAUGAUGAAAUCACCUGCAAAGGCGCAUCUUUCCCUUUUUUCUCCGAAAAAUCUGAGUAGAAUACCACUGGAUAACUCAUCCAUGGCGGUUUUUGAGUUCUUCCGUAAGAUCCCAAACAUCGGAGCCGGCUUAGCCACAUCAACUCGACCUCUUUCCGACGGAUCUCCGGCGACCUUAGAGAAGGUUACAGUAAAUUACAGACACAGGAAAGUGCCCUCGAGGUAGUUGAUCGAUCGGGGGAGUCACCGCGGUGGUGGUCGGAGACCAAUCCGAGCCAGUGGCUAGUGAGGGUUUAACGUAAUAGGCUCAGCCCAAUAAAGUAGGAACGGCCCAUUAAGUGAAAAUAAAUGGACUAAAUUAGCCUUUUAACUGAUUUAACUGCUUAUAGAAAAUGUCUUAUUAAAAAUUGUGUUUUCAUCAAAAAAAAAAAAAGUUGGGACUGACAAAGCAAGUUAUUAUACAAGGUGUAAGAAAUCUUGGAUUUUGUAUCAAAACAAAUAUUUAUAUACAUGUAUAUCAAAAAUAAAAGGCAAAAACCUACCUGAAAUAUUCAAAAAGAGGUUUUCUAUUUGUAAACUAUACUAAUAAACACAAAGCAGCUCAUCUAGAACAUCAUCAAAAAUCAGAUCUUCAAGCUCAAGGGUAAGCCAUUCAGAUUCACGUCGUAGAUUCAUCCAUCCAUCACCCUUUUUAAGAAGAUCUCUUCCCACAAUAUCGUCCAAUGAACGAUCUUUAUUCUCAGCUCCUACACCAGAGAGGUUCCACUCGACUCUUCCCCAUACCUCAUCAAGAUAACGUUUGCCGUAUGGAAACGUUUUAGGGAAGUAUAUGUGUGAUUCGUUGUGAGUCUCGACGAUUGCCUCGUUAACCAAAUCAAAGAGAAGUUCUCUGUUGUUCACUACUGCUUCUUCUUGUAUCUCGAGUUCGUAGACUAGUGAUGGAUUCAGUGGUUGUUCCUCUGCGUGCCAUUUUUCGUCGUUGUCUUUGUUAUCGAGGAAGCCUGAAACUUCUAGAACCUUCUUUACAUAACAGAAGUAGGCAUCUUCAUCUUCUUCUUCAUGGUUGUAAGUUUCUAAAGAGCUUAGACCUAAACCUGUAGGACAAGCAAUCAAAGAAUUGAGACUUGCAUAUCUUUCUCUCAUCAAACAAUGAAGCUAUCUAGAACGUUCGUUCAAGAGGUUACCUUGUGAGACUAAAGUAUCGGUCUUUUCCGCAGUAUCUUCCAAAGAACUGACACUAGGAACUGAAUGUGGAUCUUGUGGAAGGAUUCUUCGGUUUGGGCUGUCUAAGUAACUUUCUUGGCUUCUCUCUUCGUGCAACUCAUAUUUUUUUUCCUUCUCUGCUCUUAUCGGAGAUUCUGAUAACAAUAAUGGUUUCUUGGAUCCAAAGUUAGUAUCUUGGUCGAGAUGUUUCCUAGGUUCCAGAUUGGAAGUAGAACUGUCUCGGGGAAGGUCGGUCAGAAAUGAACCAAGAACUUCAAGACUGGACAAAGAUGAAAUCCGUCUGAAGAAUUGUGGUAUAUUAUCUCUCGAAUCGCUCUUUCUAUCUUCAUACGAAAGUUUUAAGCUCUUCGAGCGCAGUUCACCACCUUCUCUUCUGAAACUUUGCUCCAAGAGUUGAGAGUAUCUCCCUUCAUAAUCAUCUUUCGCGACAUGAUCUGAAACCCUUUUCUUCUUCUUCCUUGUGUGAUUCCGGUCUUUGAGUGCGUUUUUGAGCAACUUCUUGAUUUCUCUGAAUCGGUUUAUAACAGUGUUAUUAAACCCGUGACCAUCAUCAGCUGAGCCACGAGAAGGAGAGACUGGUCUGUGUUCUUGAGAAGUGUUGUCUCUUGGAACAUUCAAAUUCAAAAGUGCACCGUUUUGCUUAGGAGAAUACCAGUUCUCCUUCUGCUUGUGAUCAAUUCUAGCAGGAAUUGGAGAGCGUGAGACAGGAAACGAGCCUGACUUGGGCAAAGCUCUUGGAUUAGACUUGAUCUGGACUUGAUCUUUCAUAAUCUUGACAAAAACAUCUUCUUUUCUCAAGAUUUCAAGAAAAUCCACGUACUCAGUUACUUGCUUUGUAGACAUCAUCUUCUUCAGUUUUGUAUCUGGUCUCGUUGGCGGCUUACUAUCUUCAACAACAUUAGCCAUCUUUGAAUCUUCAUCCUUAGAAUCAAGAAACGGUUCAUGUUCCUCUGUUUCACGCAUCAAGGAAUGAGUUCUUGGGGUCUUCCAACCUAUGAAAACAGAGUAAAAGAAUCAUUUAACAAAAUUAAUUAUCUUCUUUUAAACAAAACUUUUGAAAGAUAAUAAUAAAAUUACAAAAGGGGCUUACUUACAGAUUGGGCGGUUCUUAGUUCUCCAAUGGUGAAAGUCAAGCACAUGAAGCAUUCCAGCCAACCAUCCUGAUUUGUGAUUGUAUUUGCCAUGUUUUGGACUAGAAGUCUCGUUUUUCAAAUGCUUCCCCAUUUCGAAGCUAAUGAUCUGUCAAUUAAAUUACGUUUUUUUUUAGCAACGAACGGUCUGAAAGACAGAGUAAUUUACUCAACAGCGACGUAAUAAACACACACACACACAAAUAUAGUCAGACCAGAGAAGAAAGACUUGGUAACUUUUCGGAAAUCGUCAAAAUCUAACCAAACAUCAAAGAAACAAAUUAUCUUUCUUGUUCUGUUUUGAUAUAAAAAAAAAAAAACUAAGUAAAAGAGGAAUCUAAUCGGUUUUAAAAAGGUUAUGCGGUAAAAGCUGACCUGAUCAAGAAGAAGAGGAAGAAACAAGUGACUCCCUAAGCAACUGAACUGUUUGAUUCUUUACAAACGGAGAAGAACAUAAGGAACAAACAAGAAAAGCUGAAGAAGGGGAGGUGUUGAUGAUGAUGAUGAUGAUGAUGCAACGGAAGGUGUCUGGAAGAGAAGAGCAAAGGGAGGAAGACCUUUGAACCAAGGAAGGAAGAAAGUGAGACUUUUCGUUCUGCUAUGUGGUUCUACUUUACCCGCCAACUAUGGGGCUCGGUCUACUUGUAGAAAACUGUCAAAAUGUCUGUUUCAUAUGCAUAUAUAACGCUCACACGCCACGAGAUACAUGAAUAUUUUUUUGUUUGUUCUCAUUCAAACAACACAUGUAUUUUUCUAUAUUAAAUUCAAUAUCUCGUAAGAAUUUAAUUUCUAAUUAAGAAUUUAAUAAAUUAAUUUCUUUUGUUUUAUUAAUACUAUAUAUGUAUAAUAUUCUUUUAAAGACGUACAUUUGAAUGGCCUUUAUUUAUCUAUAUAUAUGCCACAUCAUGAUUCAAACAAGGUGAUAUUUAAAUAAAAAGAGCAAACGUUCUGAUCCAGAAAAUUUCAUAACGAAAGAUAUUGCGGUUAACCAAUUUAUAUGUAAAAAAAAGGAAAGGUUUCUAGAACUGCGCUGGUAAAAAGUAUGUGAACAACCCAAGUAGGAAGAGUAGUUGUUAGGCUACUUGUGUUUGUGGCAAAAUUUGUUGAUACCUGUUCUAUGGAGGAGGUAGGCCAUCUUUUUUGGCUACUUAGGUUUCAUUGUUUAAUGUUACUUCUGUCGAAUGAUUGUAUUAUCUAGUUCGUGAUAUAAACAGUACUAUGUAAGCCAGAAUUGACUUGCAAGCCAAGGUUGACCUGGAAGAUUUUAAAACCCCAAUCACGCUGCGCUGUUUACCAAGUAUUGUUAUAAGAAAAAGAAAAAAGAAAAAAAAAGACAAAAGGGAUUAGAUCAUCUUGGUUAGCAAGUGGUCAGGAUUGUAUAUGUAUAUAAAAUAGUUGCUUUUCUAUUAGUGAUUUAUUUAAGUAUGUACAUAACUCCUAUCGGAUUAAAUAGUAGUAUAAACAAAACGUAAUUAAGAAAACGAAGUCAAAGACUUUAGUUGGAAACUUGGAAUGGCGUGAUUAAGAAUAGAAAUGAUCACAACUGCCCCAACCAAAGUUAAAUGAAUAUUGCCCACCAAACUCAUAAGAAAUGAACUUAAAAAAACAUACGUAAUUGUUAAACAAACAAAAAAAAAGAACGAUCUCAGAAGUAACAAAAAAAUAAAAAGAAGAAAGAAAAGUCCAAAAAUCUUAUAAACUAUGAACGACGACGUAAGAGAGGGUGAGAGUGGUGGUGGUGGUGGUGGUGGGGGAUAUGGAAUUAUGAAAGUUGACGAAGAGAUUGAAGAAAACGAGGCGUCAGUGAUAACGUGACACGUGGUUGUCUGAAAUAGCACAUCUGAUCCUACACGAGAUCCAACGGCGAUUGCCGAAGCACAAACAAAUGAGAGAGAACUCACACUCUUUUGACUUCUUCUUCUUCUUCUUCUUCUUCUUCUUCUUCUUCUUCUUCUUCUUCUUCUUCUUCUUCUUCUUNNNNNNNNNNNNNNNNNNNNNNNNNNNNNNNNNNNNNNNNNNNNNNNNNNNNNNNNNNNNNNNNNNNNNNNNNNNNNNNNNNNNNNNNNNNNNNNNNNNNCCUCUCUCUCUCUCGCUUUUAUAUGCCCAAAUUUCCCAUUUACUUCUUUUUAACGUCACUCUUCUCUUCCCUUUUCUUCCCAUCUAUUUUUAUUUCUGUUGACAGUCACCAAUCUUUUUUUUUUUUUUUCUCUUACCGGAGAUUUUUUUAAAAAUCAGACAUAAAACGAAUAAUAUCUCUUCUAUUUUUCUUUCCUAUAUUCCCUUCUCUGAAAAUACAAUUGGUUACUAGAAAAAAUCAUUUUCUCUUUGCACAUAAGUCAACUCUCUCUCUUUCUUUCUCUCUUUCUUUUAUCACUUCUUCUCAUUCUUCUUCUUUCACCUUCUCUUUGGAUUU
rnacentral:lncRNA from 1 species